CAUGAGGGCGAUGAUGUUCAACACUUGUUUCUUUUUGUCACCGAGGGACUGUUUACCUCUUCUGCCUGUAAAAGUGUUCUUUCUGAAGUACCGGCUGUGUGCUGCUAUGUAUCUUUUUUCGUUUGAAUUUCAGUCCUUGUGAUCUAAUUAACUUAUUGGUCGAUUUGAGACCUUGGAGAAUUUGCGGGACAGCGAGACAUUUGAUCUGAAGGUUAAACCAACUCUUGCCACUGAAUAUGCUUUGAAACAUUACAGGAUGCUGGAAGUGGAAAUCUUGUAAUUGCAUUAUAAUCUUAUAUCCACGGAUGAAAGCAUACCUUUAAUAAUGCACGGCCGUGGAACGUGUAGAAUCAAGCAGGUUCAGAUCCUCUGGAGUUUUAACUGACUGCUAUAGGAUGUUACAAAAGCGUGAAUGACGAUUUGUCGAAUUUUGUUUUUGAAAAUUCGGGAUUGCUGGAUACCUUAGAGCAUAUCCAGCCGUUCGGCCCCCCAGGGUGCCGAAAAAGAGCGGUCUGGGGGCGAACCGGCGCUAGGUCGCCCGUCGAACUCGGCCUUGAUGCGCUCCCAAUACGUCUCGAUGCUCUGGUUCGUGCCGGUGAUCGGGUCGAGGCUGGGCGACGGACAUGCUCGGUGGCUUGGACGGCGGAGCCCUCGGCUUCCUCUGCUUUGGCUGGGUGACGGCGGCGGUCGCAGCUGUCGCGGCGCGGGGAUCACGUACUUCUUCGGCGGCAUGGCGGCCGGCUGGGAGGGGAGGGGGAGGGAGAUUGGCGGGAGGAAUGGAGAGAAUGAGAGGGAAGCCGGGGGGAAAGCGGGAAGAAACGGCGGAAAAAGGCUCUCAACUCGCCGACAGAGUGGCCCCACGCCCCUUUUUGCUUGUGCCGGCGCCCCCCAGUGCUCCGGGUUCGGCUCGGGUGCGCCGGCUGUUAUUUCGGCCCAACCCGGCGAAAAACAGACUCGUGAGGGCGCCACUGGGCCGAUUUUUGCCCGCCGGCGCUAAAAAAAGCCUAGGGGAGGGCCUGUUGGGGGCGCGGCUGGAGAUGCUCUUAGCGGCAGCUUUUCCUGGGUCGUCCAAUUGUUCGGUGUGCUGCUUUUUUUAUCGUUGAAUGUGAUUGCUCUGUGAUUUUCUUUGCUACUAUCCCUCUAGUUUCUGUGGGAGCAGGUGCCUCCAAUAGAUGAUGUAAAAACGUUGUGCCAGCCAAUGCCAUUUACUUGUCCCAUCAACACCGUUGACCUCUUUCGCCAUGAAGAAACAAAAAAAACCGCUUCCUUUUUCAUCUCAGGCACUGUUUCUGCCUUAAAUAUUGAGCACUUUCUGAUUGAAUAUUUGUUCACACCCGCCAUCAUAAACUCUAUCUUCCCUUUUGCUUGUCCCAUCGAGAUUGACACCGUCUGCCUCACCGGGGUUGAUUACACCGCGGUCCUUGUCUCGGCCAAGAGCCGCAACUUAACCGAUGUUCCUAAAUCCAUUCUGGUGCACAGCUUCUUGGAUCUCGGUGUUAUUGCCAUAGUGCUGGUUGGCCGUUCGUAGGAGCUCCCCGUCGACCCUGCUUUUGCGGUUCCUGACUCUGAAGACGGUCGCAACGGCAUGGGCGGUGAUGGUGGCAGCGUUUGGGGCGACGACGAUUCCCCUAGUGGCAUGGAGUCAAACCUCUCCUCAUUGCCGUCUCCACCGACUGGUGAAGGCCAACGGGGUUGAUUACUCUAUCUCCCACACGGUUCCUUUUUGGGCCUAGCCAGUGGAGUAGAAUGUGCGUGUUGCUAUACAUCGCUUAUUAGAGCGCAAAAUGAGGGUCGCCCACAGCGCACUCGCAUGGGCCUGGCAUAGCGUGCCUACCGUAAUCGCUUACUAUACGGUCACAAUGGCUACCUCCUGUAGCCUAGCGUAUGUAGUACUUCCUCCUUUACCUCAAAAAAACAAAUGUAGUACUUCCUUCUGUGUAUAGAUUUUCUGAGAAGUCAAACCAAGCAAAUUUUGAGUUUACAAAGAAAAAAUUAUUCGUAUAUGCAAUUCUAAACAUACACAACAUGAAAAUAUAACUGAUGAUGCAUACAAUGACAUGCAUUUGAUAUUUUAAAUAUGCAUAUUUUUGUGGUCAAAGUUUGUAAUGUUUGACUUUCAAAAAAUCUAUACGCACUACAUCGUGGAAUGGAGAGAGUAGGAUUUAUAUCUUUUUUUGGUUUUGCUUCUUUUUUCUGAUUUUACUUUUUCUCUUUAGGUUUGGUUUUUAUUUUAGUUUUCUUUCAGUUACACAUGCAUUUGGUGAAACAUUUUGGGCGCGUUUGGUUGCUUGCAUCGUUCUUUGCCCAUUUGCAUACUUGUCCCAGUUGGUCCUGGUUGAGCAUCUACAGGCAAAAAACCAAUAUUUGCAUGUCAAUUGGUUGUCUGGAUGUCCUCUUCCUGCAUCGGGGCGACGCCUCUACGCACCGUGUUUGGUUGCUCGCAUUAUAUGUGCUCACAUGAGUGCACGUUGUUUGGUUACAUACGAGCAUAGAAUUGUGCUCACCUUGUACCCUACUUGGUGAGCUUACCAACACUACUACACCUUACACAUGAUCACACUGAGCACACCAACGCCAUAGCAUUGCUAUGAUGAUGAACUCGACUAAGAUGAUGAAGUUCUUCAGCCCUAACGGACGAUCCACCUUGCCAACCUCAACCUUGUUGCUUGAAUGCUCUCGCACAUACUUCGAGUAAGCAUCUUCUGCCGCCUGCCUAGUCUUAAACCCUUCUCUGUGGUUGCUGUCGCCGUACCCUGAAACUUGUUUGUUGCAAACUUCCCAUGAACUGUAAACCCCUGAAACCCUACCUUCGAACACCACAUACCACUUGCCCUGGCAGUGCAAAUGAGCAAUAAGUUCAAGCAACAAGCAUUGAAACACACAAACAUCAAGCAAUGAAGAACUCUAGGAGGAAGCAAUGGAGCAGAAGAGCAUUAGUAAGCAUGCAUGAUCAUAGCAAGUUCAACCUGCCACUACUUUGGUGUCAUCCUACCACCACAUCCAAAAGAGGGUGUAAUCCUACCACCGCGAGGAUCACCGUGAGAGGUUAGUAUAUACCACCUGACCAAAGUAUAAAGAUCAUAAGAUUGUUUUCAAGCCCUAACUACACAAAAUAUACGUCGUCAUCGUCGUCCUUGUCGCCAUCGCCGUCGAGAUCAUGCAUGCCGUCGCCACUGUCGGUGUCAAAACCGGCCGAUCUCGGGUAGGGGGUCCCGAACUGUGCGUCUGAGGAUCGAAGGUAAUAGGAGAUAGGGGACACGAUGUUUACCCAGGUUCGGGCCCUCUUAAUGGAGGUAAUACCCUACUUCCUUCUUGAUUGAAUUUGAUGAGUAUAGGGGUUACAAGAGUUGAUCUACCUCGAGAUCGUUAUGGCUAAACCCUAGAUGUCUAGCAUAUAUGAAUUCAGAUAGCCUCUACGGACUAAACCCCACGGUUUAUAUAGACACCGGAGGGGGCUAAGGAUAUACAGAGUUGGUUUACAGAGGAAGGAAACUACACGUUCGGACGCCAAUCUUGCCAUCCACGCAAAGGAGAGUCCCAUACGGACACGGGGAAAGGUCUUCUACCUUAAAUCUUCGCGGCCCAUCAGUCCGGCCCAUAUGUCACAUAGCCCGGACGCCCGAGGACCCCUUAAUCCAGGACUCCCUCAGUAGCCCCUGAACCGGUCUUCAAUGACGAGGUAUCCGGCGCGCAGCUUGUCUUCGGCAUUGCAAGACGGGUUCCUCCUCCGAAUAUUUCAAAGUAAUCUUCUGAACAAAAGAACUGUAUCCGGCUCUGUAUACUAGCCACAACCCUCAACCAUGAAGGCAAAAAUACUUAAUCAAAAUAAGGUCUGUCAACUGACAACCCUCUUGGCAAAACGUCACCUCUGGCCUCUUUAUCAUUUCGAACCGUUUUUUGGACUCCCGCUUCGCGUUUCGAGGCGCGGCCUCCAUUGACACGUCUUGUCAAAACAGAUAUCGUGUCCGCUUAUUGCGGGAUCAUCAUCAAUACUGGCUUGGGUAAUCCAACUGUGCCAUUCACACGACCCCUUGGGAAUAGGCGGUUUUAAGGCUUGAGGGGGGGGGGGGUGUUUGAUAUUCACGGCCUAUAUAAGUGGAUAAAGAUCCAUCUUUUCACCCCACGCAUUCUUCCUUCCUCUGCCUUCCCAUCCUCGAGCUCUAGCGCCCAAGCUUCAAUCUUUCCCACCGCCACCAACCUCUCCAGCCAUGUCCGGAUCCGGCUCUCAGGGCAAGUGGGUGGCCUCCUCUGUCACGGAGAAGGACGUCAAGGAGCUCCGGGAAGUGGGGUACCUGACUGUGGACGUCGCACAUAGGCUCCCUGCCAAAAAGAAGGUCAUCCCUACUUCGGAGCCCGGCGAAAGUGUUGUGUUCAUCCCCCACUUCCUCCGCGGGCUAGGGUUUCCCCUCCACUCCUUCAUCUGCGGCCUCAUGUUCUACUACAGGCUAGAUUUCCACGAUCUAGCCCCGAAUUCCUUCCUCCACAUCUCGGCGUUCAUCGUCGUGUGUGAGGCGCUACUCCGCAUCCCCCCACACUUCGGCCUCUGGCUCAAAGUCUUCAAUGUGAAGCCGAAGGUGGUCGACGGGCAGCACGCGGACUACGGCGGCGCCAUGGUGAGCAAGCUGCCUGACACCACUUGGCCCAAAGGGUCCUUCGUGGAGACCGUGAAGGUUUGCCAACAGGAGUGGUUCUACAUCACCGAACCCCGCGGCGCCAGAUGGGCGGCCACUCCUGAGUUCAGAUCCGGGCCCCCUAUGUGGCUCGCGUCCUGGACCAACAAGGGUCUGGACUGGGGGUCGACCGACGAAGUGAUGAUGCUACAAAAGCGCAUCAAGAAUAUGAUAAACAAGGACACCAGCCUCACUGGUGUGAUUCAGGUGAUGCUCUUCCGCCGGAUACUCCCCUGCCAACGCCGGCCUCUCCAUAUGUAGGAGUUCAAUCCGGAAGGUCCCCGGACCCUGCAACACUUCUUUGGCACAACGCACGAAGAGAUCUGGAAGCAGCUAUUCAAGGCCCAGAAGACGUGGCCGAAGAAGACCGAAGACAUCGGUCUCGACAGCGAGAAUCCAGCCACUCCUGUAAGUUUUUUAGUUCCGAACAUAAUUUCGGUCCAUAAAUCAAAGGUUAUACUAAGAUUUCCAUUCCUCAUUCAGGGCUGGACAGCGAAGGCGGAGCGGAUCAAGUGUCCGGCUCCGCUACCUGAAGACCCAGCCAAUCCUCUGCAAACGAGGAUGCUGCUUCCGGUGCCGUAUCAGGCGCCGGAGAAGAAGGCCAAGGAGGCCAAGGGCGGCCUCCGCCGUAAAGGUACUUCGGACGCAGUUUCCGGAGAAACCGAAGCCCACUCCUCCCACGAGGGAGAUGAAGACGAGGAGGAGGAGGAGGAAGCGGAAAGUGGGAGAAGAAAGAAAAGGGCAGCCUCCGCAGACCUGGAGGAGGGGGCGUCCAAGAGGGAGAAGAUAACCCUCUCAGACGGUUCGGAUACGGAUGCCGAACACACCCCCAAGAGGAGCCUCAGGGAGAAGCCCCUGGCCGAAUCGUAAGUGUCAAAAAGGGUACUUUGCAAAUAUUCGGUCUAUUAUGGUUGUAAUAUAACAUAUCACAUUGUGUGUUUCAGCCCGGCCCACGACCUCCCCCAACCAUCGCUGUCUGAGGGGAACUCUCUAGCCCAGGGAUGGGGGAGAACGAGACGCCUCCGCAAGUCUCUCCACCGACCAACGCGGAUGACACCAAGGUGUUGUCCCGAAGGGCCUCUCCGGGCCACGAAGAGGUGAGGGAGGCCGCGAACACGGCACCUGGAGGUGAGGCCUUGGCUGCCGAGAACAUGGGGGGCACAACCCCCAUGGAGACCGACGGCGGGGGCCCUGACCAGUCCGGCCCCCAGCCGAACACAAUUCCGAAGAUCCAUACGGCUCCGGAAUUGAGCGAGCAACCCCCUUCGAAGGAGGGGGGAGCGCCAACUUCGGCGGCGACCUCCACAAAUCCGGAGGCGUUGGACAUUCUGGUGGAGGCACUACAACGUGUCUCCAUCGUAGAUGAGCACCGCACCCUGAUGGGUGCGGUGGUUGAGAAGGCUCAGUCCGCAAAGAGCGGGCUAAACGAAGCCUUCACCAGCCUGCUAACAGGCUUCGAGGUAUGCGACAUAAUAUUCUUAGCCACUUAUCAUAUGAAAAAAUAUGCAUGUAUAUAGAUAGUAGCCCCUGAGACUGUGUUCGGUUUUUGAAAAAGGCCGAACAGAGGAUCACAUAGUAUUUGGUAGAGGUGACAGACUUUUCUAUUUGUAUAACAGGCUUCUCUGUUGGCGGCGACCGCCCAGGCCGCUGAAGUUUCCGAUCUCAAGCGGAGGCUGCAGCUAGCUGAUGAUGAUAUUGUCCACAUAAACAAGCGGUUCAAUGAGGUGCAAGGUAUGUUUAAAAUAUCUCGCACAUGCCUGAAUUGAUAUGCGAAUUCUGAGUUUAAACUCAUGCGCUGCGAUGUGUAUGAUUGUAGGCAGCGCGGCCGAGGUCGAGACCCUCAAGAGUGCCCUUGCCCAAGCCAAGGAGGAGGCGAAGGUGAGCAAAGCGGCCGCAGACAAAGCGGUUGUGGAUUUAAAGUCCGAACAAGUCGCCCGCCGCCAGUACGAGGAGAGGGUGACCGAGGUCGAGCAAGAGCUCAAGGACGCCGCCGGCAAGUGUGAGUCCUUGGAGGAGAAGAAUAAGGCUCAGCCGUCCGAACUCGCCAAGGCCCUCCAAGAGGCCAAGGAGGCGCAGACCGAGUCCCGGGCAGCUCGUGAGGAAAUCCGGUAGUCCGAACAGAUAGCUGCUGGUAAGCCCUUUCUUUUGCAGACUCUAUUUGGCGGUCAAAGAUAUGCCUUGCUCACUCGACUGUGGAGUUCUCCAUACGCAUUUGUGGAUCUUCCGAAGAGUGCCGCCGACGCCGCAUAGUUCUUCCGGGCCUAGGAGGGGCACACGUCGUAGAAGCUCUUCCGGUCACAGUUCGCGACCGGAGCGUCCGGCGCUGUUGAACAACCAGAUGAUGCAGUUGGCCGAGCUGUAUAGGAUGUCCGGAUUGGCCAUGAAGGACAUCAUAGUCCGGCUGUGGCCAACCAAAUCCAUUCCUAGCAGCUACUUCAGCCUGGUGCAGCGACUCGCCGACGCGCUACCCCGAAUCGAAGCUGUCAAGCGCUCGGCGUGUAUAGAAGGUGCGCGGAUGGCCUUUGCCCGUGUCAAGAUGCACUGGGAAAAGAUGAAGGCUGCCAUCAUGGCGUUCAAGGGCCCACCCCAAGGCAAGGACCACCGCAAGCCAGAGCGGUAUCUUGAAGACGUUCUGGAGGCUGCCCGAUUAAUAGAGGGCUAAUGCUCAAAGGAUUCUUAUUUGAGUAAAUGUAUCCGGGCUGCCCAGACGUUGUUUUAUGAACCAAGGCUAUGUAAUAUAUUUAUGCCUUUAUCUUAAAUUACUUGCCUCCUGUGCGGCCGUAUUUUGUUAAUCUGAAAAUUUGCCAGUCGUCGGCUUCAGCCCCCACGUAGAGACUACGGGGGUGUUCGGGAUAACGCAUGAUCACUCUUGACCCAACGUCUUGGUCCGUAAAGGAGGUGUCUGCGUAACGAACCAGGCAAUCAGACUAUGUGGCUUUAGCACUUUCACUUAGCCAUAGGAGUUUGACGGUGGGACUAAGUACUAGCCCAUGGUGCGUAUGCGGCUAUCCGAACUGGGAUGCCUUAAGCGCGUGACUGGCCAAAAGCCAUUCCUUCCUAUAAUACGGAAGAAAUUGCAAGAGAUUUAUAUUAAGUCACCGAAUCGCUGACCAGAUCUCACCGCAUCAUGAGGUCAGUUUUCGGCUUUCUCUACUGAGGUGUUUGACCGGACGAACCAGAAAUACAAUCGCAGUAGUUCUCCCUUUACUACCCUAGCCGAACAAGCGGAACGUAAGGUAGUAACCACAGGAGCCGGGCAACCCAACUAUUGACCAAAGACAUGAUUCAGAGCUGCUGCAUAUAAUGCAAUAUCUGGGACGCCGAAGUAUUCUCUGAAGGUGUUCGGACUUUUUUUUGGAAAUAUAUGUGGCCGAGUAAAGCCCCUGGCAUUUUAAGCUAUGCCGAAGUGUAUAUGCCAAUCUGACAUGAAGAGGGAAUACAGAUUAUGAAAUAAACCAAUACCGAAUAGGGUUGGUAAAAACUGUUUCCAUUAUAGUCUGAUUGAUACAUCAAAAUGUGCUCUUAUAGAUAAUGCCAUAAGCAUCCAGGCUUUUACAUGCCGAGAAUUUGAAAACAAGGGAAAGCUGUAUACAUGUCCUAAAAAGAAAAGGUAGUCUUGAAGAUCCUUUGGACACCCUGCCGCACGUCCGCGCCGCUUUUCACCUUGGUGGAGGAUCCUUUGAGAGGAUCGACGAUCAUGUAUACACAAGGGGCCUGGGAGAGGGCUCUUGUGCCAUUGUAAAGUGAUUUAGGUUUUAAAGAACCUGUAAUAUAAGAGAAAAGAGAAAAAAGAAGAAGAAAGUUAAGGUCCGAAUAGGGUCGAGCCGUAUUAUGGACCUCGUCCGCAGAGUGCCUCUCCAUCGCCGCCCAAGGUACUUUGAGUGCGUAGUUAUGCACACGCGCUACAUAUGUCGCGGUUAGAUGGGGCGAUGGACGGAGGCAAAACUGCUAGUCCAGCUCCGGAUUGACCGAGCUGUCGUUCUGCAGAGUAGGCCGGACUCGUUUAAUAGUGUCCGGAGGCUUGAUGGCCGAUGAAGUGUUCGGCUUGAUAGGGUCGCUGUGUACCUUGACUGUAAGGGCCGUGAUGUGCUCCUCGGUACAGAGGGAGCAUUCCAUGUUUCCAUUGACUGUGAGAACGCCGCGGGGUCCAGGCAUUUUGAGCUUUAAGUAAGCAUAAUGCGGGACUGCAUUGAAGCGGGCGAAGGUAGUGCGUCCGAGCAGUGCCUGAUAACCACUACGGAAGGGGAUGAUGUCGAAGAUUAAAUCUUCACUUCGGAAGUUGUCCGGUGAACCGAAGACUACUUCCAAUGUUAAUGAGCCCGUGCAGCGGGCCUCAACGCCGGGUAUCACACCUUUAAAGGUGGUGUUACUAGGCUUGAUUCUUGACGGGUCAAUACCCAUUUUACGGACAAUGUCUUGAUAUAUCAAGUUAAGACUGAUGCUGCCAUCCAUAAGGACUCGAGUGAGAUGAUAACCAUCGAUAAUUGGAUCAAGGACCAGGGCUGCCGAACCUCCAUGAUGGAUACUGGUCGGGUGGUCCCUACGAUCGAUGAUCGGACAAGCCGACCACGGGUUAAAUUUAGGGGCGACAGGCUCUAUGGCGUAGACGUCCCUUAGCGUGCGUCUGUGCUCCCUCUUGGGGAUGUGUGUAACAUAGAUCAUGUUCACUGUUAUCACCUCAGGGGGAAUUUCUUUUGCCUCCCUGUUUUCGGUGGGCGGGGCUCCUCAUCGUCCUCGCUUGGCGGCCCUUUCCCCUUGUUUUCGGUAUUUAAAUUACUGGCCUGUUUGAAGACCCAACAUUUCUAUUGGAGUAAUUGGCAGGCUUGUCAGGGGUGCCAUGAAUCUGGCACGGUCGAUCGAGUAUUUUGUCCAAAUUAGAUGGACCAUCUUUACUUCCCUUGAAUGGCUUCUUCCGCUGACCGGAUUUAGAGCCGCUGAAUCCGGCGUUGACCAUUGUGUCUUCAGUUUCUUCAUUGUUGUUUUGACGCUUAUGUUUGUUGCGUCGUGGUCUGCCAUUGCCGUCCCUGACUUUGGAGGUGCCAGGGUCGCUGGUACUAUUGCUUCUACGAGCCAGCCAGUUGUCCUCUUCCACGCAGAAGCGGGUCAUGAGUGCGGUAAGGGCUGCCAUAGACUUUGGCUUUUCCUGACUGAGGUGUCGGGCGAGCCAUUCGUCGCGGACGCGAUGUUUAAAGGCCGCGAGGGCUUCAGCAUCCGGACAGUCGACGAUUUGGUUCUUUUUGAUUAAGAACCUAGUCCAGAGUUUUCAGGCUGACUCUCCGGGUUGCUGGACUAUAUGGCUAAGGUCAUCGGCAUCUGGAGGCCGGACAUAGGUACCUUGGAAGUUUUCUCUGAAGGCAUCCUCCAGAUCUUCCCAGCUACCAAUAGAGUUCUCUGGGAGUCUGUUUAGCCAGUGUUGUGCUGGUCCUUUCAGCUUUAGGGGGAGAUACUUAAUUGCGUGGAGAUCGUCGCCGCGGGCCAUGUGAAUAUGGAGAAGAAAAUCCUCAAUCCAUACCGCGGGAUCUGUCGUUCCAUUGUAUGAUUCAAUGUUUAUGGGUUUAAACCCUUCUGGAAAUUGGUGCAGCAUUACCUCAUCGGUAAAGCACAAGGGGUGUGCGGCGCCUAUGUAUCGGGCAACGUCGCGACGGAGUUCGGAUGACAUCCGUGUUCGGUUUUCGGCCUGAUUUCGGUUAUGCUGCUCGCGCCAAGCUUGAAGGCCGUCAUUUCUAGUUGGAGCACGCCCCCUUGAUCCGUAGAUUGAUCUGGUCUGGCCGGAUCAAUUGUCCAGGUCCUGACAUAAGUCGUAGGUGUAGCCCGGAGCCGCUACCUCUUUGCCUCGGCGGCGAGGUGGCGCGGGCUGGUGUUCGGCGUAAGCAACCGAUCUGUCUCGCCCACGUGGUGGUCGGUCUGGUUCAUCAGCAUGAUUAUAUCUUGACGGUAUUGGCUCAAGGGCCUCGUCGUCGAAUUGUGGUAGUGGCCGACGCUUUGGAUAACUCUUUGCUGGGCGCUCGAGGCCGUAUUCCUCGGCUGCAAGGACCUGGGUCGAUCUAUCGUUGAGCGUAUCCUGUUCGGCUUUGUUUCUUUUUUAGGCUCCUCGCAGUUGCGAUGAGCUGUCGCUUAAAGCGUUCUUGCUCGAGGGGUUCCUCUGGAACGAUGAAAUCUUCGUUGUCGAGGCUUACUUCCUCCUCGGAGAGCGGUAAAUAGUUACUGUCCUCCGGAUCUUCAUUAUCGGCCAGUUCGUCUGGGUUGACUUGUCCGUCUUCCCAAUCAUCUUGCUCUACGACAGGCUCGAUGGGGUGGUUAGAGUCUUCGGCAUUCUCCGGAGUGUCAUUGUCUCCGGUGCCGGUAUUGCUUUCUUUUUCCCACCACGAUCGUGAGCGGCGCCGCUGGCGUCGACGCUUUGGUGGUACCUCGACGGGCUUGUCCUCGAUCGGAUCCGGAUUGCCAUUGUCGUCCUCUUUUGGUGUAUCCACCAUGUAUACGUCAUAUGUAGAAGUGGUAGUCCAUCGUCCGGUGAUAGCCGGGUUUUGGCCUUGUUCGGUGUCGGCAUCGUCGUCCAGACCGUCGAUGUCUUCGGAGGCGUAGUCGAGCAUGUCGGUUAAGUCUUCGACAGUGGCUACCAAGUGGGUGGUGGGUGGGACGCAAAAUUCCCCGCACUCAGCCCCUAGUUCGGGCUAGGCAUAAUUUAGAGGUGAUACCUCCGUGAUGGCGAGAGACCGCAUUAAGUCCAAGGCCUCACUUAAGAGUGAAGGCCGGACGGGGAACCGAGGACCUGCGGAGCUGGGCACGGCAGAUUCUGCUGCCAGGCUGUGCUCACCAGACGCAGACCUCAAGAGUUCAGAGUUGGCAUCCAGAGACGAGUUCGGCUCUCCGAUGACAAGGAGGGUCCUGCUUGAUUCCAGGUUCGCCGAAUAUGCAGCUGCCUCUGGGUCUUCGGUAGAGAGCUCCAUGGGAGGAGAGGGUCUGGUGGGUUUUGCGAUCCCAUCUUCGGAUGAGGUGGCCUGCUCUGGAUUUGUGGCCAGGGCAGGGAUGAUAGUUUUUCUUUGAGUGGUGCUUGAUGACGUAUCCGAUGGGUUGCCUUCUUGGAGAUGAGGCAUAGUGGUCGAGGCCGUGAACCCUUUGAAGAUCAAGUCUCCUCGGAUAUCGGCGACGUAAUUCAGGCUCCCAAAUCUGAUCUGAUGACCAGGGGCGUAGCUGUCGAUCUGCUCAAGGCGACCAGCUGAAUUGGCGCGCAGAGCGAAGCCGUCGAACACAAAAAGUUGUUCGGGGAGGAAGGUCUCCCCGGAAACAGCCUCGUUGUUUAUGAUCAAACGAGCCAUCGAACCUUCUGCCGACGACACAGUGGAACUCUCAAUGAAAGCACCAAUGUCGAGUCAAAACCGGUCGAUCUUGGGUAGGGGGUCCCGAACUGUGCAUCUGAGGAUCGAAGGUAACAGGAGACAGGGGACACGAUGUUUACCCAGGUUCGGGCCCUCUUAAUGGAGGUAAUACCCUACUUCCUGCUUGAUUGACUUUGAUGAGUAUAGGGGUUCAAGAGUUGAUCUACCUCGAGAUCGUUAUGGCUAAACCCUAGAUGUCUAGCCUAUAUGAAUUCAGAUAGCCUCUACGGACUAAACCCCCCAAUUUAUAUAGACACCGAAGGGGGCAAAGGAUAUACAAAGUCGGUUUACAGAGGAAGGAAACUACACAUCUGGACGCCAAUCUUGCCAUCCACGCAAAGGAGAGUCCCAUCCGGACACGGGGAAAGGUCUUCUACCUUACAUCUUCACGGCCCAUUAGUCCAGCCCAUGUGACAUAGCCCAGACGCCCGAGGACCCCUUAAUCCAGGACACCCUCAGCCGCCAGCAGAAGGAGCAAUAGCAGUAGUGCUUUCGCAGCCAGGUCCUCAGCCAGAGCAUCCCGUGGGUGUUGGGAAACGUUGCAUGGAAAACAAAAAAAUUCUACGCACACUCAAGAUCUAUCCAUGGAGAUGCAUGGCAACGAGGAGGGAAGUGUGUCUAUGUACCCUCGUAAACCGUAAGCGGAAGCGUUUCACAACGCGGUUGAUGUAGUCGAACUUUCUUCAUGCUCCAACCGAUCUAGUACCGAACGCACGACACCUCCGCCUUCUGCACACGUUCAGCUUGGUGACGUCCUCCGCCUUCCUGAUCCAGCAAGACGGCGAGGUAGUAGACGAGUUCCGGCAGCACGGUGGCAUGGUGACGGUGAUGGUGAUGUGAUCCUCACAGGGCUUCGCCUAAGCACUACGAAAAUAUGACCGAUGGAGUAAACGGUGGACGGGGGCGCCACACACGGCUAAGACAAUGUUGUGUGUCCUUGUUGGGCGCCCCCUACCCAUGUAUAUAUAGGUGGGAGGGGAGAGGGGGGCUGCCAGGGCAGCCAUGGCGCGCCCCUAGGGGCUGGCCGCCGGCCCUAGGGCUCCUGCCCUCCUGCGCCCCUCCUUUCAUUGUAUGGACAAGGGGGAAAGGAAAGAAGGGGGAGGAGAGGGAAGGAAGUGGGAGUUGAUACGUCUCCAACGUAUCUAUAAUUUUUGAUUGUUCCAUGCUAUAUUAUAUUCUGUUUUGGCUGUUAAUGGGCUUAUUUAUACACUUUUAUAUUAUUUUUGGGACUAACCUAUUAACCGGAGGCCCAGCCCAAAUUGCUGUUGUUUUGCCUAUUUCAGUGUUUCGCAAAAAAAGAAUAUCAAACGGACUCCAAAUGGAAUGAAACCUUCGGGAACGUGAUUUUUGGAACAAACGUGAUCCAGAGGACUUGGACCCUACAUCAAGAAAGCAACCAGGGGGCAUGAGGCAGGGGCGCGCCUACCCCCCUAGGCGCGCCCUCCACCCUCGUGGGGCCCACGUUGCUCCACCGACGUACUUCUUCCUCUUAUAUAUACCUACGUACCCCCAAACUACCAGAUACGGAGCCAAAAACCUAAUUCCACUGUCACAACCUUCUGGACCCAUGAGAUCCCAUCUUGGGGCCUUUUCCGGCACUCCACCGGAGGGGGCACUGAUCACGGAGGGCUUCUAGAUCAACACCAUAGCCUCUCCGAUGAUGUGUGAGUAGUUUACCUCAGACCUUCGGGUCCAUAGUUAUUAGCUAGAUGGCUUCUUCUCUCUUUUUGGAUCUCAAUACAAUGUUCCCCCCCUCUCUCGUGGAGAUCUAUUCGAUCUAAUCUUCUUUUGCGGUGUGUUUGUUGAGACCGAUGAAUUGUGGGUUUAUGAUCAAGUUUAUCUAUGAACAAUAUUUGAAUCUUCUCUGAAUUCUUUUAUGUAUGAUUGGUUAUCUUUGCAAGUCUCUUCGAAUUAUCAGUUUGGUUUGGCCUACUAGAUUGAUCUUUCUUGCAAUGGGAGAAGUGCUUAGCUUUGGGUUCAAUCUUGCGGUGUCCUUUCCCAGUGACAGCAGGGGCAGCAAGGCACGUAUUGUAUUGUUGCCAUCGAGGAUAACAAGAUGGGGUUUAUAUCAUAUUGCAUGAGUUUAUCCCUCUACAUCAUGUCAUCUUGCUUAAAGCGUUACUCUGUUCUUUUGAACUUAAUACUCUAGAUGCAUGAUGGAUAGCGGUCGAUGUGUGGAGUAAUAGUAGUAGAUGCAGGCAGGAGUCGGCCUACUUGUCGCGGACGUGAUGCCUAUAUACAUGAUCAUACCUAGAUAUUCUCAUAACUAUGCUCAAUUCUAUCAAUUGCUCAACAGUAAUUUGUUCACCCACUGUAAUACUUAUGCUCUUGAGAGAAGCCACUAGUGAAACUUAUGGCCCCCGGGUCUAUUUUCCAUCAUAUUAAUCUCCCGUCAACAAGUUAUUUCUGGCGCCGUUUAUUUUUGCUUUCUUUUACUUUUUGCUCUUUAUUAUAAAAAUACCAAAAAUGUUAUCUUAUCAUAUCUAUCAGAUCUCACUCUCGUAAGUGACUGUUGAGGGAUUGACAACCCCUUUAUCGCGUUGGUUGCGAGGAUUUUAUUUGUUUGUGUAGGUGCGAGGGACUCGUGCGUGGCCUCCUACUGGAUUGAUACCUUGGUUCUCAAAAACUGAGGGAAAUACUUACGCUACUUUGCUGCAUCACCCUUUCCUCUUCAAGGGAAAACCAACGCAGUGCUCAAGAGGUAGCAGGAGUCCAACUCCACACAUUCCUUUCCUCCUCCCCUUUACUUUCCCUCCCCUUAAGAGGGCCCUAUAGUGUGUUCCCUCACUUGGGCCAUAAGGCCCAUAUCUUUGUCGGGGAUGCCCGAAACUCCUUCUGGUGACCCGAUAAGUACCCGGUACCCUCCGAAACACUUCCGGUGUCCGAAUACCAUCGUCCUAUAUAUCAGUCUUUACCUCUCGACCAUUUCAAGACUCCUCGCCAUGUCCGUGAUAUCAUCCGGGACUCCGAACAACAUUCAGUCACCAAAUCAUAUAACUCAUAUAACACUAUAUCGUCAACGAACUUUAAGCGUGUGGACCCUACGGGUUCGAGAACUAUGUAGACAUGACUGAGACACCUCUCUGGUCAAUAACCAAUAGCGGAACCUAGAUGCCCAUAUUGGCUCCUACAUAUUCUACGAAGAUGUUUGUUGGUCGAACCGUUAUAAAAACAUACGUAAUUCCCUUUGUCCAUCGGUAUGUUACUUGAUACGUCUCCAAAGUAUCUAUAAUUUAUGAAGUAUUCAUGCUAUUAUUUUAUCAUUCUUGGAUGUUUUACAAUCAUUUUAUAGCAACUUUAUAUUAUUUUUGGGACUAACCUAUUGACCCAGUGCCCAGUGCCAGUUGCUAUUUUUUUGCUUAUUUUUUACAUCGCAGGAAAUCAAUAUCAAACGGAGUCCAAACACUGCAAAACUUUUUGGAGAUUUUUUAUGGACCAGAACACCCAGGAUGGGCCAGAACAGCACUUGGGGGGGUGACCCGAGGGGGGCACAACCCACUAGGGCGCGCUUGGGGGCCUAGGUGCGCCCAGGUGGGUUGUGCCCACCUCGGUGGCCUCCCGCACCCCCUCUUUACCCUAUAAAUUCACAAAUAUUCCGAAAACCCUCGAGGUUAACCUAGAUCAGAAGUUGAAGGAAAUAUGCCCUAGAGGCAAUAAUAAAGUAUUAUUUAUUUCCUUAUUUCAUGAUAAAUGUUUAUUAUUCAUGCUAGAAUUGUAUUAACCAGAAACUUAGUCAUUGUGUGAAUACAUAGACAAACAGAGUGUCCCUAGUGUGCCUCUACUUGACUAGCUCGUUAAUUAAAGAUGGUUAAGUUUCCUAGCCAUAGAUAUGAGUUGUCAUUAGAUGAACGGGAUCACAUCAUUAGAGAAUGAUGUGAUGGACAAGACCCAUCCGUUAGCUUAGCACUAUGAUCGUUUAGUUUACUACUAUUGCUUUCUUCAUGACUUAUACAUGUUCCUAUGACUAUGAGAUUAUGCAACUCCCGGAUACCAGAGGAACACUUAGUGUUCUAUCAAACGUCACAACGUAACUGGGUGAUUAUAAAGAUGCUCUACAGGUGUCUCCGAUGGUGUUUGUUGAGUUGGCAUAGAUCGAGAUUAGGAUUUGUCACUCCGAUUGCGGAGAGGUAUCUCUGGGGCCUCUCGGUAAUGCACAUCACUAUAAGCCUUGCAAGCAAUGUGACUAAUGAGUUAGUUGCCGGAUGAUGCAUUAUGGAAUGAGUAAAGAGACUUGCCGGUAACGAGAUUGAACUAGGUAUUGAGAUACCGAUGAUCGAAUCUCGGGAAAGUAACAUACCGAUGACAAAGGGAACAACUUAUGUUGUUAUGCGGUUUGACCGAUAAAGAUCUUCAUAGAAUAUGUGGGAGCGAAUAUGAGCAUCCAGGUUCCGCUAUUGGUUAUUGAUCGGAGACGUGUCUCAGUCAUGUCUACAUAGUUCUCGAACCCGUAGGGUCCGCACGCUUAACGUUCGGUGACGAUCGGUAUGAUGAGUUUAUGUGUUUUGAUGUACUGAAGGUUGUUCGGAGUCCCGGAUAUGAUCAUGGACAUGAUGAGGAGUCUCAAAAUGGUCGAGACAUAAAGAUUGAUAUAUUGGACGGCUAUAUUCGGACACCGGAAGUGUUCCGGGUGAUUUCGGAGAAAACCAGUGUCGGAGGGUUACCGGACCCCCCCCGGGGGGAACUAGUGGGCCUAGAUGGGCCUUAGUGGAGAGAGAGAGGGGCUGCCAAGGCAGGCCGCGUGCCCCCUCCCCCUUGAGUCCGAAUUGGACUAGGAAGGGGGGGCGCCGCCCCCCUUUUCCUUCCCCUCUCCUACUCCUUCCUUCCCCUCCUAGUAGGACUAGGAAAGGAGGAAUCCUACUCCUAGUAGGAGGAGGAUUCCUCCCCUCCUUGGCGCGCCCUAGGGCCGGCCGGCCUCCCCCUUGCUCCUUUAUAUACGGGGGCAGGGGGCACCCUAGAACACACAACAGACAACUGUCUUAGCCGUGUGCGGUGCCCCCCUCCACCAUAAUCCACCUCGGUCAUAUCGUCGUAGUGCUUAGGUGAAGCCCUACGCCGGUAACUUCAUCAUCACCGUCAUCACGCUGUCGUGCUGACGAAGCUCUCCCUCGACACUCAGCUGGAUCGAGAGUUCGUGGGACAUCACCGAGCCGAACGUGUGCAGAUCACGGAGGUGCCAUACUUUCGGUACUAUGAUCGGUCGGAUCAUGAAGACAUACGACUACAUCAACCACGUUGUCAUAACACUUCCACUUACGGUCUACGAGGGUACAUGGACUACAGUCUCCCGCUCGUUGCUAUGCAUCACAUAGAUCUUGCGAGAUGGUAGGAUUUUUUUUGAAAUUACUGCGUUACCCAACAGUGGCAUCCGAGCCAGGUUUAUGCGUAGAUGUUAUAUGCAGGAGUAGAACACAAAUGAUUUGUGGGCAAUAAUAGUCAUACUGCUUACCAGCAUGUCAUACUUUGAUUCGGCGGUAUCGUAGGAUGAAGCGGCCCAGACCGACAUUACGCGUACGCUUACGCGAGACUGGUUCUACCGACGUGCUUUGCACAUAGGUGGCUGGCGGGUGACAGUUUCUCCAACUUUAGUUGAAUCGAGUGUGGCUACUCCCGGUCCUUGUUGAAGGUUAAAACAGCACACUUGAUGAAAAAUCGUUGUGGUUUUGAUGCGUAGGUAAGAACGGUUCUUGCUCAGCCCGUAGCAGCGACGUAAAACUUGCAACAACAAAGUAGAGGACGUCUAACUUGUUUUUGCAGGGCAUGUUGUGAUGUGAUAUGGUCAAGACAUGAUGCUAAAUUUUAUUGUAUGAGAUGAUCAUGUUUUGUAACGGAGUUAUCGGCAACUGACAGGAGCCAUAUGGUUGUCGCUUUAUUGUAUGCAAUGCAAUCGCCCUGUAAUUGUUUUUACUUUAUCACUAAGCGGUAGCGAUAGUCGUAGAAACAAUAGUUGGAGAGACGACAACGAUGCUACGAUGGAGAUCAAGGUGUCGCGCCGGUGACGAUGGUGAUCAUGACGGUGCUUUGGAGAUGGAGAUCAAAGGCACAAGAUGAUGAUGGCCAUAUCAUAUCACUUAUAUUGAUUGCAUGUGAUGUUUAUCCUUUAUGCAUCUUAUUUUACUUUGAUUGACGGUAGCAUUAUAAGAUGAUCUCUCACUAAAUUUCAAGGUACAAGUGUUCUCCUGAGUAUGCACCGUUGCGAAAGUUCGUCGUGCCGAGACACCACGUGAUGAUCGGGUGUGAUAAGCUCUACGUUCACAUACAACGGGUGCAAGCCAGUUUUGCACACGCAGAAUACUCGGGUUAAACUUGACGAGCCUAGCAUAUGCAGAUAUGGCCUCGGAACACUAAGACCGAAAGGUCGAGCGUGAAUCAUAUAGUAGAUAUGAUCAACAUAGUGAUGUUCACCAUUGAAAACUACUCCAUCUCACGUGAUGAUCGGACAUGGUUUAGUUGAUUUGGAUCACGUGAUCACUUAGAUGAUUAGAGGGAUGUCUAUCUAAGUGGGAGUUCUUAAGUAAUAUGAUUAAUUGAACUUUAAUUCAUCAUGAACUUAGUACCAGAUAGUAUUUUGCAUGUCUAUGUUAUUGUAGAUCAAUGGCCUGUGCUACUGUUCCUUUGAAUUUUAAUGCGUUCCUAGAGAAACUAAGUUGAAAGAUGAUAGUAGUAAUGAUACGGACUAGGUCCGUGAUCUGAGGAUUAUCCUGCUGCACAGAAGAAUUAUGUCCUUGAUGCACCGCUAGGUGACAGACCUAUUGCAGGAGCAGAUGCAGACGUUAUGAACAUUUUGACAAAAGCUCGGUAUGAUGACUACUUGAUAGUUUAGUGCACCAUGCUUUACGGCUUAGAACCGGGACUUCAAAAAUGUUUUGAACGCCACGGAGCAUAUAAGAUGUUCCAAGAGUUGAAAUUGGUAUUUCAUACUCAUGCCCGUAUCAAGAGGUGUGAGACCUCUGACAGUACUUUGCCUACAAGAUUAAGGAGAAUAUAUAGCUCAACCAGUGAGCAUGUACUCAGAUUGUCUGGGUACUGCAAUUGCUUGAAUCAAGUGGGAGUUAAUCUUCCAGAUAAGACAGUAAUGGACAAAGUUCUCUAGUCACUAUCUCCAAGUUAUUAGAACUUCGUGAUGAACUAUAAUAUGCAAGGGAUGACGAAAGUAAUUCCCGAGCUCUUCGCGAUGCUGAAAUCGACGAAGGUAGAAAUCAAUAAAGAGCAUCAAGUGUUGAUGGUUUACAAGACCACUAGUUUGAAGAAAAGGGCAAAGGGAUAGAAGGGGAACUUCAAGAAGAACGGCAAGCAAGUUGCUGCUCAAGUGAGGAAGCCCAAGUCUGGACCUAAGCCUGAGACUGAGUGCUUCUACUGCAAUGGAAGUGGUCACUUGAAGUGGAACUACCCUAGAUACUUGGCGGAUAAGAAGGAUGGCAAAGUGAACAAAGGUAUAUUUGACAUACAUGUAUUUAUGUGUAUUUUACUAGUGUUUAUAGCAACCCCUCGGCACUUGAAACUGAUUCAGUUGCUAAGAGUAGUAACUCAAAACGGGAGUUGCAGAAUGAACAAAAACUAGUUAAGGGUGAAGUGACGAUGUGUGUUGGAAGUAGUUCCAAGAUUGAUAUGAUCAUCAUCGCACACUCCCUAUACUUUCGGGAUUAGUGUUGAACCUAAAUAAAUGUUAUUUGGUGUUUGCGUUGAACAUGAAUAUGAUUUGAUCAUGUUUAUUGCAAUACGGUUAUUCAUUUAAGUUAGAGAAUAAUUGUUGUUCUGUUUACAUGAAUAAAACCUUCUAUGGUCAUACACUAAUGAAAAUGGUUUGUUGGAUCUCGAUCAUAGUGAUACACAUAUUCAUAAUAUUGAAGCCAAAAGAUGCAAAGUUAAUAAUGAUAGUGCAACUUAUUUGUGGCACUGCCGUUUGGGUCAUAUUGGUGUAAAGCGCAUGAAGAAACUCCAUCCUGAUGGGCUUUUGGAAUCACUUGAUUAUGAAUCACUUGAUGCUUGCGAACCAUGCCUCAUGGGCAAGUGACUAAGACUCCGUUCUCCAGAACAAUGGAGCGAGCAACUGACUUAUUGGAAACAAUACAUACUGAUGUAUGCGGUCCGAUGAGUGUUAAGGCUCGCGGCGGGUAUCGUUAUUUUCUGACCUUCACAGAUGAUUUGAGUAGAUAUGGGUAUAUCUACUCGAUGAAACAUAAGUCUGCAACAUUUGAAAAGUUCAAAGAAUUUCAGAGUAAAGUAGAAAAUCAUCGUAACAAGAAAAUAAAGUUUCUACGAUCUGAUCGCGGAGAUGAAUAUUUGAGUUAUGAGUUUGGUCUUCAUUUAAAACACUGUGGAAUAGUUUCACAACUCACUCCACCUGGAACACCACAACGUAAUGGUGUGUCCGAACGUCAUAACCAUACUUUAUUGGAUAUGGUGCGAUAUAUGAUGUCUCUUACCGAUUUACCACUAUCGUUUUGGGAUUAUGCAUUAGAGACAGCUGGAUUCACGUUAAAUAGGGCACCAUCUAAAUCCGUUGAGACGACACUGUAUGAACUGUGGUUUAGCAAUAAACGUAAGCUGUCGUUUCUUAAAGUUUGGGGCUGCGAUGCUUAUGUGAAAAAGCUUCAACCUGAUAAGCUUGAACCCAAAUCGGAGAAAUGCGUCUUCAUAGGAUACCCAAAGGAAACUAUUGGGUACACCUUCUAUCACAGAUCCGAAGGCAAGAUCUUUGUUGCUAAGAAUGGAUUCUUUCUAGAGAAGCAGUUUCUCUCGAAAAAGAAGUGAGUGGGAGGAAAGUAGAACUUGAUGAGGUAAUUGUACCUUCUCCCGAACUGGAAAGUAGUUCAUCACAGAAAUCAGUUCCAGUGAUGCCUACACCAAGUAGUGACGAAGUUAAUGAUGAUGCUCAUGAAACUUCAGAUCAAUUUACUACCGAAACUCGUAGGUCAAACAGAGUACGUUCCGCACCAGAGUGGUACGGUCAUCCGGUUCUCGAAGUCAUGUUACUAGACCAUGACGAACCUACGAACUAUGGGAAGCGAUGAUGAGCCCAGAUUCCGCAAAAUGGUUUAAGGCCAUGAAAUCUGAGAUAGAAUCCAUGUAUGAAAACAAAGUAUGGACUUUGGUGGAAUUGCCCGAUGAUCAGCAAGCCAUUGAGAAUAAAUGGAUCUUCAAAAGGAAGACGGACGCUGAUGGUAGUGUUACUAUCUACAAAGCUCGACUUGUCGCAAAAGGUUUUCGACAAGUUCAAGGUGUUGUCUAUGAUGAGAUUUUCUCACUCAUAUCGAUGCUUAGAGUCUGUCCGAAUCAUGUUAGCAAUUGCUGCAUUUUAUGAAAUUUGGCAAAUGGAUGUCAAAACUGCAUUCCUUAAUGGAUAUCUCAAAGAAGAGUUGUAUAUGAUGCAACCAGAAGGUUUUGUCGAUCCUAAAGGUGCUAACAAAGUGUGCAAGCUCCAGUGAUCCAUUUAUGGACUGGUGCAAGCCUCUCGAAGUUGGAAUAUACGCUUUGAUAGUGUGAUCAAAGCAUAUGGUUUUAUACAGACUUGUAAUGAAGCCUGUAUUUACAAGAAAGUGAGUGGGAGCACUACAGCCUUUCUGAUAAGUAUAUGUGAAUGACAUAUUGUUGAUCGGAAAUGAUGUAGAAUUUUCUGGAAAGCAUAAAGGAGUGUUUGAAAGGAGUUUUUCAAAGAAAGACCUCAGUGAAGCUGCUUACAUAUUGAGCAUCAGGAUCUAUAGAGAUAGAUCAAGACGCUUGAUAAUAUUUUUCAAUGAAUACAUACUUUGUUAAGAUUUUGAAGUAGUUCAAAAUGGAACAGUUAAAGAAGGAGUUCCUGCCUGUGUUGCAAGGUGUGAAGUUGAGUAAGACUCAAAGCCCGACCACGGCAGAAGAGAGAGAGAGAGAAUGAAAGUCAUUCCCUAUGCCUCAGUCAUAGGUUCUAUAAAGUAUGCUAUGCUGUGUACCAGACCUAUUGUGUACCUCGCCAUGAGUUUGGCAAGAGGGUACAAUAGUGAUCCAGGAGUGGAUCACUGGACAGCGGUUAAAAUUAUCCUUAGUGGAAUAAGGAAAUGUUUCUUGGUUAUGGAGGUGACAAAGAGUUCGUCAUAAAGAGUUACGUUGAUGCAAGCUUUGACACCGAUCUGGAUGACUCUAAGUCUCGAUCUAGAUACAUAUUGAAAGUGGGAGCAAUUAGCUAGAGUAGCUCCGUGCAGAGUAUUGUAGACAUAGAAAUUUGCAAAAUACAUACGGAUCUGAAUGUUGCAGACCUGUAGACUACAAAAAAUUCUCUCACAGGCAAAACAUGAUCAUACCUUAUUACUCUUGGGUGUUAAUCACAUAGCAAUGUGAACUAGAUUAUUGACUCUAGUAAACCUUUUGAGUGUUGGUCACAUGACGAUGUGAACUAUGGGUGUUAAUCACAUGAAGAUGUGAACUAUUGGUGUUAAAUCACAUGGCGAUGUGAACUAGAUUAUUGACUCUAGUGCAAGUGGGAGACUGAAGGAAAUAUGCCCUAGAGGCAAUAAUAAAGUUAUUAUUUAUUUCCUUAUUUCAUGAUAAAUUUUUAUUAUUCAUGCUAGAAUUGUAUUAACCGGAAACUUCGUACAUGUGUGAAUACAUAGACAAACAGAGUGUCCCUAGUGUGCCUCUACUUGACUAGCUCGUUAAUCAAAGAUGGUUAAGUUUCCUAGCCAUAGACAUGAGUUGUCAUUUGAUGAACAGGAUCACAUUAUUAGAGAAUGAUGUGAUGGACAAGACCCAUCCGUUAGCUUAGCAGUAUGAUCGUUUAGUUUACUACUAUUGCUUUCUUCAUGACUUAUACAUGUUCCUAUGACUAUGGGAUUAUGCAACUCCCGGAUACCAGAGGAACACUUAGUGUGCUACCAAACGUCACAAUGUAACUGGGUGAUUAUAAAGAUGCUCUACGGGUGUCUCCGAUGGUGUCUAUUGAGUUGGCAUAGAUCGAGAUUAGGAUUUGUCACUCCGAUUGUCGGAGAGGUAUCUCUGGGCCCUCUCGGUAAUGCACAUCACUAUAAGCCUUGCAAGCAAUGUGACUAAUGAGUUAGUUGCGGGAUGAUGCAUUACGGAACGAGUAACGAUACUUGUCGGUAACGAGGUUGAACUAGGUAUUGAGAUACCGACGAUCGAAUCUUGGGCAAGUAACAUACCGAUGACAAAGGGAACAACGUAUGUUGUUAUGCGGUUUGACCGAUAAAGAUCUUCGUAGAAUAUGUGGGAGCCAAUAUGAGCAUCCAGGUUCCGCUAUUGGUUAUUGAUCGGAGACGUGUCUCGGUCAUGUCUACAUAGUUCUCAAACCCGUAGGGUCCGCACGCUUAACGUUCGGUGACGAUAGGUAUUAUGAGUUUAUGUGUUUUGAUGUACCGAAGGUUGUUCUGAGUCCCGGAUAUGAUCACGGACAUGAUGAGGAGUCUUGAAAUGGUCGAGACAUAAAGAUUGAUAUAUUGGACGGCUAUAUUCGGACACCGGAAGUGUUCCGGGUGAUUUCGGAGAAAACCGGAGUGCCGGAGGGUUACCGGAACCCCCCCGGGGAACUAGUGGGCCUAGAUGGGCCUUAGUGGAGAGAGAGGGGCGGCUAGGGUAGGCUGCGCGCCCCCUCCCCCUUGAGUCCGAAUUGGACUAGAAAGGGGGGCGGCGCCCCCCUUUUCCUUCCCCUCUCCUACUCCUUCCUCCCCCUCCUAGUAGGACCAGGAAAGGAGGAAUCCUACUCCUACUAGGAGGAGGAUUCCUCCCCUCCUUGGUGCGCCCUAGGGCCGGCCAGCCUCCCCCUUGCUCCUUUAUAUACGGGUGCAGGGGGCACCCUAGGACACACAACAGACAACUGUCUUAGCCGCGUGCGGUGCCCCCCUCCACCAUAAUCCACCUCGGUCAUAUCGUCGUAGUGCUUAGGCGAAGCCCUACGCCGGUAACUUCAUCAUCACCGUCAUCACACCGUCGUGCUGACGAAGCUCUCCCUCGACAAGCUGGAUCGAGAGUUCAUGGGACGUCACUGAGCCGAACGUGUGCAGAUCGCGAAGGUGCCGUACUUUCGGUACUAGGAUCGCUCGGAUCGUGAAGACGUAUGACUACAUCAACCGCGUUGUCAUAACGCUUCCGCUUAUGGUCUACGAGGGUACGUGGACUACACUCUCCCGCUUGUUGCUAUGCAUCACAUAGAUCUUGCGUGAUCGUAGGAAUUUUUUUGAAAUUACUGCGUUACCCAACAGAAGUUCCGCCGUCGCAUGGCUCUGCAGCCACAGAAAACCAAUCUAGACCCUUUCGGGCACCCUGCCGGAGGGGGGAAUCAUCACCGGUGGCCAUCUUCAUCAUCCCGGCGUCCACCACGAUGAGGAUGGAGUAGUCCACCCUCAGGGCUGAGGGUUUGUACCAGUAGCUAUAUGUUUAAUCUCUCUCUCUCGUGUUCUUGAGAUGUAACGAUCUUGAUGUAUCGCGGGCUUUGUUAAUAUAGUCGGAUCAUAUGGUGUUUUCCCCUCUCUAUCUUGUUGUGAUGAAUUGAGUUUUCCCUUUGAGAUUUCGUUGUUAUCGGAUUGAAUACUUUUAUGGAUUUGAGAAGACUUGAUAUAUGUCUUGCAAUUGAAUACUCAUGGUGAUAAUGGGGUAUCGUAUUGAUUCACUUGAUAUAUGUUUUGGCACUCAACUCAUGGAUUCCCGAGGUGACAUUGGGGUAAUCUAUGCAUAGGGGUUGAUGCACGUUCUUGUCUUUGUUUCUCCGGUAGAAAUCUUGGGGAACUCUUUGAAGUUCUUUGUGUUGGAUCAAGUAUUAUGAAUAUGAAUUUGCUUUGGUGUUAUUUUAGUUUGAACUCUAGGAUAGAUUGAACGGAAAGAAUAGCUUUAUGUUAUUUUAGUACGAACUCUUGAAUAGAUCGAACGGAAAGAAUAGCUUUGAGGUGGUUUCGUACCCUACAAACAAUUUAUUCUUAGGUUCUCUACUAGAUAGGAACUUUGGAGUGAUUCUUCAUCGCACUUUGAGGGAUGGUUAUACGAUCCAAUUAUAUUAGCAUUGUUCAGAGAUUGCACUAGUGAAAGUACGGACCCUAGGCCUCAUCUCCAAGCAUUGCAAUACCGUUUUUGUGCCCGUUUACUAUUUGCUACCUUGUUGUUUUUAUUUACUCAGAUAAUAAAAAUAUAUUUCUACCAUCCAUAUUACACUUUUAUCACCAUCUCUUCGCCGAACUAGUGCACCUAUACAAUUUGCCAUUGUAUUGGGUUGCAGGGUUGUUCGAGAGAGACCAUCUUCAUCCUACACCUCCCACGGAUUGAUAAACCUUAGGUCAUCCACUUGAGGGAAAAUUGCUACUCUCCUACAAAACCCUCUGCGCUUGGAGGCCCAACACGAGUCUACAAGAAUAAAGUUGCGUAGUAGACAUCAAGCUCUUUUCUAGCGCCGUUGUCGGGGAGGUGAGUGCAUGAAGGUAUAUCUUUAGAUCUUGCAAUUGAAUAUUUUAGUUUCUUGUUUUAUCACUAUUUUGGUUUAUAAAGAAAACUACAAAAAAAUGGAAUUGAGGUUGCAUCAUAUUAUUGAUCAUCUUUAUAAUAUCUUUCUUGAAAAUGAUGGAUCAGAAAAUUGUGCUCAAUUGCUAGAAGAAGUCAAUAAAAUGUUUGGCACAAAAUAUUUGAAUGAUGAGCAUGAUUGCAAUGUUGUUAGUAUGAAUUCCUUGAAUAUCCAAAAUGCCAAUGAAUGUUGCACUAGUCAUGAGAAAAAUGUCUCCUAUAAGAAUGUCAAUUUUUGCGGAGUGAAUUGGGAGUGCAAUUGCACACCAAAAAGGGAAGAUAGAUUUUGUAAGAUGCAUAAAUAUUUAGAAACGAAAAAGUUGCAAGAGAGGCUAGAUGAUUGUGCUGAAAGAUGUAAUUUUUUUCACCAUCCUUGUGAACUUUGCAAUGAACGUGGUCAUUUAAAUCUCCAAUGCAAAUUAUUUCAUGAUCAAAUUGUGUCCAAAAAUUGUGAUAACUUGAUUACCCUUGAGUAUCAUAAAGAGCUUAGUCUUCUUUUGGGGUAUGAAUAAAUGAAAUGUAUAACUAAGGGUUUUCCAAAUCCCGAGAGAUUUCUUGAUUUUGAUCUAGAAGAAAUUUAUAUGUUUUGUGCGGUGAAUUGCAUUGAGAAUCCUUAUAUUGCCAACUAUCUAAAGACAAGAAAACAAAUAGAAUAUGAAGAGAGUACUAAUGAAAGGGAAAAUAUUUCCCAAUACCCUCCUAGUGUUUAUUAUGAUGAAUCAGGUAACGAGGAGGAGCUUGCUAUCCAAUCAAUCUCUUCAACAAGAAGCUUGAAAAAAUUAAUUAAACCCACACAUGGUGUGGUGAAGAAGAAGAAAAGAAUAUAGUCAAAAAAAGAAGAAAAGAAGAAGAAAGAAUAAAGGUAAAAAGGUAUCUCUCUCAAAGAAUGUUACUCCUAUCACCAUUGUGCCUCAUGAAAGUGAAACAAAUAUAUUGAUGGAGGAUGAUGAUAUUGAGUAUGAUUUUGUGAUACCUACUACUUGUUGUAAUGAUUUUGAUUGGGAAGACAACGAAAUCCCUUAUGAUCUUGAAAAUCUUUUUAGCACUUGCUUGGAAGAAUAUGAUAAUAAUGUUUGCUAUACUAUUGGUGCCAUUCAUGCUAUUGAUAAGAAUGAUUGUGAUGAUAUGCAAAACCACAAGCUCGGGGAUGCUAUGUUUAAUGAGUAUGAUAUGUUUGAAGAUUUAUUUGCUGGAAAUAAUGCUUGUCCUAAGCUUGGGGAUGCUUUGCUUAAUGAAUAUGAUCCUUUGAUUCCUUGUACUUUCGAUAAGAAAAUUUAUUAUGAUGAUAGCAUGCCUCCUAUUUAUGAUGAUUACAUUGAUAGAAGUGGGUUUGGAAGAGUGUCAGCUCUAGGUAGUAGUGAUCCCACUAUUUUGGAGGGUGUUGAAUCUUAUUACAAUAUUGAUGAAAGUGGAUUUGGAGAGGCCAUGAAUUUAUUUAGUGAUACAUCCACUAUUUUGGAAGAGCUUUCAAUUGAUAUGACAAUAAAGUUGCUAUCUAUGAUGAUUAUUAUGAUGACAUGUAUGCCAUAAAGAGUGAUAAAUCUUCUAUGCUUGUGCAUCAUGAAAAGAGUGCAGUAUGUGAUAGUUAUAUUGUUGAAUCCAUUCAUGAUGUUUCUGAAAAUUAUUAUGAGGAAGGAACUUAUGCUCUUACUUAUCUCAAUAAUAUCAAGUUUCUUUUCUAUGUGUUGAUUGUUUUGAAGUUGCAAUUGUUUUGCCUUCCUAUGCUAGUUGAUUCUUGUUCCUAUAAGUUGUUUGCUCACAAAAUCCCUAUGCAUAGGAAGUGGGUUAGACCUAAAUGUUGUAUUCAUAUGCUUCAUGAUGCUCUCUUCAUGUUUCAAUUCUUAUUUUUGUGCGAGCAUCAUUGAAAUCAUCAUGCCUAGCUUAAAAGGCAUUAAAGAAAAGCGCUUGUUGGGAGAUAACCCAACACUUUUACCUAUUGUUUUUGUGUGUUCACAUGAUUAUGCUACUGUAUUGGUCAUGUUUUAUUGCUUUUGUUUCAAUAAAGUGCCAAGUAAAGCCUUUGGGAUCGUGUUGGGUGAUAGUUAAUUUGAUCUUGCUGAAAAACAGAAACUUUUACGCUCACGAAAAUAAUUCUCAUUUUUAACAUAAGAGUGAUUUUGAGUUUAUUAUUUUUGCAGAAGAUUAAUAUACAAAUUUAUCACGUGGUCCUAAUUUUUUCAUAAUUUUUGGAGUAGCAGAAGUAUGGUUAUUCUGCAGAUCAUUACAGACUGUUCUAUUUUUGACAGAUUCUAUUUUCAAUGCAUAGUUUGCUUGUUUUCUAGUUUCUAUGGCAUGCUCAAUAUAAACAGUGGAAAUGAUAUGCUACAGUAGGCAUUGUGUGGAAACAAUUAUGAAUCUUGUCUUUGAUAGUACCAAAGUGAAAUGGUUUGCUCUUUAUCAUACUAACCUAUCUCACGAAGUUCCGUUAAGUUUUAUGUGAUUGAAGUUUUCAAGUUUUGGGUGAGAUGACGAUAUGAGGAGAAUAAGGAGUGAGAAGACCCUAAGCUUGGGGAUGACCAAGGCACCCCAAGUUAACAUCCAAGCAACUAAGCUUGGGGAUGCCCCGGAAGACAUCCCCUCUUUCGUCUUCAACAUUAUCGAUAACCUCACUUGGAGCUAUGUUUUCAUUCUCACAUGAUAUGAGUUUUACUUGGAGCGUCAAUUCAUUUUGUUAGGAUUUCUUUUCUGUUAUUUAGAAUAAUGUUUUGCAUCUCUUAUUUCAAUAAAAGUGUCAUUUAUAGCCUUUACUAUGCUUAUUUUACAAGCCUACAUGUUGCUGUUUGAAAACAGAAAGUUUACCGCUGUUGCAAAAAUUCCCUAGAAAAGUCAGAAUGUGAUAAAAUGUUGAAUUUUUUUGCACAAUAAGCUCUGAUAAAUUUUCCACAGUGUGUUAGAUUUUCAUAAUUUUUGGAGUCAGGGAAGUAUGAUGAAUCUUGCAUUCUUUACAUUGUACUGUUUUGGCAGAUUGCUGUUAUGGUUGCAUUGUUUGCAUAUGUAUGCUUGUUUAAUGAUUCUAUUUGAGGAUAUGAGUAUUAAAUAUGCAGAGGCAUUUAGUAUGCAACGUUGAAUAAUAAUUUUUGUGAUUUUCUACAGUAGAGUAUGAUAAGGUUUUUGCAUUGGUUUAUACUAACUUAUCUCACGAGUUCUUGUUGAGUUUUGUGUGGAUGGAGUUUUUGAGAUUUAGGGAAACCGUGAUAUGAGAGGAAUUAAGGUGACACAAAAGCUCAAGCUUGGGGAUGCCCAAGGCACUCCAAGAUAAUAUUUCAAGAAGUCUCAAGCAUCUAAGCUUGGGGAUGCCCCGGUAGGCAUCCCACCUUUCUUCUUCAACAAUUAUCGGUUAGUAUCGGUUGAGCCUAAGUUUUUGCUUCUUCACAUGAGUUGUGCUAUUCUUGGAAUGUCAUUUUGUUUUGUUUUUCUUGUUGUUUUAAUAAAAUACUUAGAUCUGAAAGUUUUUAAAUAAAGUAGAGUCCUCCAAUAGUUGCCAGAGAGGCUAGGUAAGCGGCACUUACAUCCCGUCAACGAAGCUCUUUUUUAUGGAAUUGUUCUUGUGCUUCAAUUAUAUCCUACGAGUAAAUUGUUAAAUAAAUUGAAUAUCAUGAAGUUGAAAUCAUAUCAUGCCUAGUGGUAGCAUCACAUUGGGUUUAGAAAGUGAAAUCUUUUGAGGCUUGACAAUCAUAAUAUUGGUCAUACAAGCAAUUCAGAAAUAAUUAGUGUAAGGAAGAGAACCUUCAUAUGCAAAUACACUAUCUUAGAAAUCUUUUGUGAUUGUGAUCCCCACCAAAUUAUUAUAUGCCAAUUUUUUUAAUGUUGGACAAGGAAGACAACGUAAUGGUUUUUGUUUGUUCAUAUUGUUGGGGAACGUAGUAAUUUCAAAAAAAUUCCUACGCACACGCAAGAUCAUGGUGAUGCAUAGCAACGAGAGAGGAGAGUGUGUCCACGUACCCUCGUAGACCGAAAGCGGAAGCGUUAGCACAACGCGGUUGAUGUAGUCGUACGUCUUCACGAUCCGACCGAUUAAGUACUGAACGCACGACACCUCCGAGUUCAGCACACGUUCAGCCCGAUGACGUCCCUUGAACUCCGAUCCAGCCGAGUGUUGAGGGAGAGUUUCGUCAGCACGACGGCGUGGUGACGAUGAUGAUGUUCUACCGACGCAAGGCUUCGCCUAAGCACCGCUACGAUAUCAUCGAGGUGGACUAUGGUGGAGGGGGGCACCGCACACGACUAAAAGAUCAAUGAUCAAUUGUUGUGUCUCUAGGGGGUGCCUCCCUCCCCGUAUAUAAAGGAGUGGAGGAGGGGGAGGGGGCCGGCAACCCUUGGCGCGCCCCAUGAGGAGUCCUACUCCCACCGGGAGUAGGACUCCCCCCUUCCAUGUUGGAGUAGGAGAGGAGAGGGAAGGAGAGAAAGGGGGAAAGGAAAGGGGGGGCGCCGCCCCCCCUCCUUGUCCAAUUCGGACUUGGGGGGAGGGGCGCGCGGCUGCCCCUUGGCCGCCUCUCCUCUUCCACCACUUGGGCCCAUGGGGCCCAAUAACCUCCGGGGGGGUUCCGGUAACCCCCCGGUACUCCGGUAUAUAUCUGAUAACCCUCGGAACCAUCCCGGUGUCCGAAUAUAGUCGUCCAAUAUAUCAAUCUUCAUGUCUCGACCAUUUCGAGACUCCUCGUCAUGCCCGUGACCACAUCCGGGACUCCGAACUACCUUCGGUACAUCAAAACACAUAAACUCAUAAUAUAACCGUCAUCGAACUUUAAGCGUGCGGACCCUACGGGUUCGAGAACUAUGUAGACAUGACCGAGACACGUCUCCGGUCAAUAACCAAUAGCGGAACCUGGAUGCUCAUAUUGGCUCCCACAUAUUCUACGAAGAUCUUUAUCGGUCAAACCGCAUAACAACAUACGUUGUUCCCUUUGUCAUCGGUAUGUUACUUGCCCGAGAUUUGAUCGUCGGUACCUCAAUACCUAGUUCAAUCUCGUUACCGGCAAGUCUCUUUACUCAUUCCGUAAUACAUCAUCCCGCAACUAACUCAUUAGUUGCAAUGCUUGAAAGGCUUAAGUGAUGUGCAUUACCGAGUGGGCCCAGAGAUACCUCUCCGACAAUCGGAGUGACAAAUCCUAAUCUCGAAAUACGCCAACCCAACAAGUACCUUCGGAGACACCUGUAGAGCACCUUUAUAAUCACCCAGUUACGUUGUGACGUUUGGUAGCACACAAAGUGUUCCUCCGGUAAACGGGAGUUGCAUAAUCUCAUAGUCAUAAGAACAUGUAUAAGUCAUGAAGAAAGCAAUAGCAACAUACUAAACGAUCAAGUGCUAAGCUAACGAAAUGGGUCAAGUCAAUCACAUCAUUCUCCUAAUGAUGUGAUCCCAUUAAUCAAAUGACAACUCUUUGUCUAUGGCUAGGAAACAUAACCAUCUUUGAUUAACGAGCUAGUCAAGUAGAGGCAUACUAGUGACACUCUGUUUGUCUAUGUAUUCACACAUGUAUCAUGUUUCCGGUUAAUACAAUUCUAGCAUGAAUAAUAAACAUUUAUCAUGAUAUAAGGAAAUAAAUAAUAACUUUAUUAUUGCCUCUAGGGCAUAUUUCCUUCAGUCUCCCACUUGCACUAGAGUCAAUAAUCUAGAUUACACAGUAAUGAUUCUAACACCCAUGGAGUCUUGGUGCUGAUCAUGUUUUGCUCGUGGAAGAGGCUUAGUCAACGGGUCUGCAACAUUCAGAUCCGUAUGUAUCUUGCAAAUCUCUAUGUCUCCCACCUGGACUUGAUCCCGGAUGGAGUUGAAGCAUCUCUUGAUGUGCUUGGUUCUCUUGUGAAAUCUGGAUUCCUUUGCCAAAGCAAUUGCACCAGUAUUGUCACAAAAGAUUUUCAUUUGACCCGAUGCACUAGGUAUGACACCUAGAUCGGAUAUGAACUCCUUCAUUUGCUGCUUCCGAAGCAGCUAUGUACUCCGCUUCACAUGUAGAUCCCGCUACGACGCUUUGUUUAGAACUGCACCAACUGAUAGCUCCACCGUUUAAUAUAAACACGUAUCCGGUUUGUGAUUUAGAAUCGUCCGGAUCAGUGUCAAAGCUUGCAUCGACGUAACCAUUUACGACAAGCUCUUUGUCACCUCCAUAAACGAGAAACAUAUCCUUAGUCCUUCUCAAGUAUUUCAGGAUGUUCUUGACCGAUGUCCAGUGAUCCACUCCUGGAUUACUUUGGUACCUCCCUGCUAAACUAAUAGCAAGGCACACAUCAGGUCUGGUACACAGCAUUGCAUACAUCAUAGAGCCUAUGGCUGAAGCAUAGGGAACAUCUUUCAUUUUCUCUCUAUCUUCUGCAGUGGUCGGACAUUGAGUCUUACUCAACUUCACACCUUGUAACACAGGCAAGAACCCUUUCUUUGCUUGAUCCAUUUUGAACUUCUUCAAAACUUUGUCAAGGUAUGUGCUUUGUGAAAGUCCUAUUAAGCGUCUUGAUCUAUCUCUAUAGAUCUUGAUGCCCAAUAUAUAAGCAGCUUCACCGAGGUCCUUCAUUGAAAAACUCUUAUUCAAAUAUCCCUUUAUGCUAUCCAGAAAUUCUAUAUCAUUUCCGAUUAAUAAUAUGUCAUCCACAUAUAAUAUCAGAAAUGCUACAGAGCUCCCACUCACUUUCUUGUAAAUACAGGCUUCUCCAAAAGUCUGUAUAAAACCAUAUGCUUUGAUCACACUAUCAAAACGUUUAUUCCAACUCCGAGAGGCUUGCACCAGUCCAUAAAUGGAUCGCUGGAGCUUGCACACUUUGUUAGCUUCCUUUGGAUCGACAAAACCUUCCGGUUGCAUCAUAUACAACUCUUCUUCCAGAAAUCCAUUCAGGAAUGCAGUUUUGACAUCCAUUUGCCAAAUUUCAUAAUCAUAAAAUGCGGCAAUUGCUAACAUGAUUCGGACAGACUUAAGCAUUACUACGGGUGAGAAAGUCUCAUCGUAGUCAACCCCUUGAACUUGUCAAAAACCUUUUGCAACAAGUCGAGCUUUAUAGACAGUAACAUUACCGUCAGCGUCAGUCUUCUUCUUGAAGAUCCAUUUAUUCUCGAUGGCCUGUCGAUCAUCGGGCAAGUCAACCAAAGCCACACUUUGUUCUCAUACAUGGAUCCCAUCUCAGAUUUCAUGGCCUCAAGCCAUUUUUCGGAAUCUGGGAUCACCAUCGCUUCUUCAUAGUUCGUAGGUUCGUCAUGGUCUAGUAACAUAACCUCCAGAACAGGAUUACCGUACCACUCUGGUGCGGAUCUUACUCUGGUUGACCUACGAGGUUCAGUAACAACUUGAUCUGAAGUUUCAUGAUCAUCAUCAUUAACUUCCUCACUAAUUGGUAUAGACGUCACAGGAACCGGUUUCUGUGAUGAACUACUUUCCAAUAAGGGAGCAGGUACAAUUACCUCAUCAAGUUCUACUUUCCUCCCACUCACUUCUUUCGAGAGAAACUCCUUCUCUAGAAAGGAUCCAUUCUUGGCAACGAAUGUCUUGCCUUCGGAUCUGUGAUAGAAGGUGUACCCAACAGUUUCCUUUGGGUAUCCUAUGAAGACACAUUUCUCCGACUUGGGUUCGAGCUUAUCAGGUUGAAGCUUUUUCACAUAAGCAUCGUAGCCCCAAACUUUAAGAAACGACAACUUUGGUUUCUUGCCAAACCACAGUUCAUAAGGCGUCGUCUCAACAGAUUUUGAUGGUGCCCUAUUUAAUGUGAAUGUGGCCGUCUCUAAAGCAUAACCCCAAAACGAUAGCGGUAAAUCAGUAAGAGACAUCAUAGAUCGCACCAUAUCUAGUAAAGUACGAUUACGACGUUCGGACACACCAUUACGCUGUGGUGUUCCGGGUGGCGUGAGUUGCGAAACUAUUCCGCAUUGUUUCAAAUGUAGACCAAACUCGUAACUCAAAUAUUCUCCUCCAUGAUCAGAUCGUAGAAACUCUAUUUUCUUGUUACGAUGAUUUUCAACUUCACUCUGAAAUUCUUUGAACUUUUCAAAUGUUUCAAACUUAUGUUUCCUUAAGUAGAUAUACCCAUAUCUGCUUAAAUCAUCUGUGAAGGUGAGAAAAUAACGAUACCCGCCGUGAGCCUCAACAUUCAUUGGACCACAUACAUCAGUAUGUAUGACCUCCAAUAAAUCAGUUGCUCGCUCCAUAGUUCCGGAGAACGACGUUUUAGUCAUCUUGCCCAUGAGGCAUGGUUCGCAAGUACCAAGUGAUUCCAAAAGUCCAUCAGUAUGGAGUUUCUUCAUGCACUUUACACCAAUAUGACCCAAACGGUAGUGCCACAAAUAAGUUGCACUAUCAUUAUCAACUCUGCAUAUUUUGGCUUCAACAUUAUGAAUAUGUGUAUCACUACUAUCGAGAUUCAUCAAAAAUAGACCACUCUUCAAGGGUGCAUGACCAUAAAAGAUAUUACUCAUAUAAAUAGAACAACCAUUAUUCUCUGAUUUAAAUGAAUAACCGUCUCGCAUUAAACAAGAUCCAGAUAUAAUGUUCAUGCACAACGCUGGCACCAAAUAACAAUUAUUUAGGUCUAAUACUAAUCCCGAAGGUAGAUUGCGUGCCGACGGCGAUCACAUCGACUUUGGAACCGUUUCCCACGCGCAUCGUCACCUCGUCCUUAGCCAGUGUCCGCUUAAUCCGUAGUCCCUGUUUCGAGUUGCAAAUAUUAGCAACAGAACUAGUAUCAAAUACCCAGGUGCUACCGCGAGCUCUGGUAAGGUACACAUCAAUAACAUGUAUAUCACAUAUACCUUUGUUCACCUUGCCAUCCUUCUUAUCCGCCAAAUACUUGGGGCAGUUCCGCUUCCAGUGACCAGUCUGCUUGCAGUAGAAGCACCCAGUCUCAGGCUUAGGUCCAGACUUGGUUUUCUUCUCCUGAGCAGCAACUUGUUUGCUGUUCUUCUUGAAGUUCCCCUUCUUCUUCCCUUUGCCCUUUUUCUUGAAACUGGUGGUCUUAUUGACCAUCAACACUUGAUGCUCUUUCUUGAUUUCUACCUCCGCAGCCUUUAGCAUUACGAAGAGCUCGGGAAUCGUCUUAUCCAUCCCUUGCAUGUUAUAGUUCAUCGCGAAGCUCUUGUAGCUUGGUGGCAGUGAUUGAAGAAUUCUGUCAAUGACGCUAUCAUCCGGAAGAUUAACUCCCAGUUUAAUCAAGUGAUUGUUAUACCCAGACAUUCUGAAUAUAUGCUCACUGACAGAACUAUUCUCCACCAUCUUACAGCUGUAGAACUUAUUGGAGACUUCAUAUCUCUCAAUCCGGGCAUUUGCUUGAAAUAUUAACUUCAACUCCUGAAACAUCUCAUAUGCUCCAUGACGUUCAAAACGUCGUUGAAGUCCCGGUUCUAAGCCGUAAAGCAUGGCACACUGAACUAUCGAGUAGUCAUCAGCUUUGCUCUGCCAGACGUUCAUAGCAUCUGGUGUUGCUCCUGCAGCAGGUUUGGCACCUAGCGGUGCUUCCAGGACGUAAUUCUUCUGUGCAGCAAUGAGGAUAACCCUCAAGUUACGGACCCAGUCCGUGUAAUUGCUACCAUCAUCUUUCAACUUUGCUUUCUCAAGGAACGCAUUAAAAUUCAACGGAACAACAGCACGAGCCAUCUAUCUACAACAAACAUAGACAUGCAAAAUACUAUCAGGUACGAAGUUCAUGAUAAAUUUAAGUUCAAUUAAUCAUAUUACUUAAGAACUCCCACUUAGAUAGACAUCCCUCUAAUCAUCUAAGUGAUCACGUAAUCCAAAUCAACUAAACCAUAACCGAUCAUCACGUGAAAUGGAGUAGUUUUCAAUGGUGAACAUCACUAUGUUGAUCAUAUCUACUAUAUGAUUCACGCUCGACCUUUCGGUCUCAGUGUUCCGAGGCCAUAUCUGCAUAUGCUAGGCUCGUCAAGUUUAACCUGAGUAUUCUGCGUGUGCAAAACUGGCUUGCACCCGUUGUAGAUGGACGUAGAGCUUAUCACACCCAAUCAUCACGUGGUGUCUGGGCACGACGAACUUUGGCAACGGUGCAUACUCAGGGAGAACACUUUUAUCUUGAAAUUUAGUGAGAGAUCAUCUUAUAAUGCUACCGUCAAUCAAAGCAAGAUAAGAUGCAUAAAAGAUAAACAUCACAUGCAAUCAAUAUAAGUGAUAUGAUAUGGCUAUCAUCAUCUUGUGCUUGUGAUCUCCAUCUCCGAAGCACCAUCAUGAUCACCAUCGUCACCGGCGCGACACCUUGAUCUCCACCAUAGCAUCGUUGUCGUCUCGCCAACUAUUGCUUCCACGACUAUCGCUACCGCCUAGUGAUAAAGUAAAGCAAUUACAGGGCGAUUGCAUUGCAUACAAUAAAGCGACCAUAUGGCUCCUGCUAGUUGCCGAUAACUCGGUUACAAAACAUGAUCAUCUCAUACAAUAAAAUAUAGCAUCAUGCCUUGACCAUAUCACAUCACAACAUGCCCUGCAAAAACAAGUUAGACGUCCUCUACUUUGUUGUUGCAAGUUUUAUGUGGCUGCUACCUGUUGAGCAAGAACCGUUUUUACCUACGCAUCAAAACCACAACGAUAGUUCUUCAAGUUAGUGCUGUUUUAACCUUCUUAAGGACCGGGCGUAGCCACACUCGGUUCAACUAAAGUUGGAGAAACUGACACCCGCCAGCCACCUGUGUGCAAAGCACGUCGGUAGAACCAGUCUCACGUAAGCAUACGCGUAAUGUCGGUCCGAGCCGCUUCAUCCAACAAUACCGCCGAACCAAAGUAUGACAUGCUGGUAAGCAGUAUGACUUAUAUUGCCCACAACUCACUUGUGUUCUACUCGUGCAUAUGACAUCUACGCAUAAAACCAGGCUCUGAUACCACUGUUGGGGAACGUAGUAAUUUCAAAAAAAUUCCUACGCACAAGCAAGAUCAUGGUGAUGCAUAGCAACAAGAGGGGAGAGUGUGUCCACGUACCCUCAUAGACCGAAAGUGGAAGCGUUAGCACAACACGGUUGAUGUAGUCGUACGUCUUCACGAUCCGACCGAUCAAGUACCAAACGCACGGCACCUCCGAGUUCAGCACACGUUCAGCCCGAUGACGUCCCUCGAACUCCGAUCCAGCCGAGUGUUGAGGGAGAGUUUCGUCAGCACGAUGGCGUGGUGACGAUGAUGAUGUUCCGACGCAGGGCUUCGCCUAAGCACCGCUACGAUAUUAUCGAGGUGGACUAUGGUGGAGGGGGGCACCGCACACGGCUAAAAGAUCAAUGAUCAAUUGUUGUGUCUCUAGGGGGUGCCUCCCUCCCCGUAUAUAAAGGAGUUGAGGAGGGGGAGGGGGCCGGCCACCCUUGGCGCGCACCAUGAGGAGUCCUACUCCCACCGGGAGUAGGACUCCCCCCUUCCAUGUUGGAGUAGGAGAGGAGAGGGAAGGAGAGAAAGGGGGAAAGGAAAGGGGGGCGCCGCCCCCCUCCUUGUCCAAUUCGGACUUGGGGGGGGGGGAGGGGCACGCGGCUGCCCCUUGGCCGCCUCUCCUCUUCCACCACUUGGGCCCAUGAGGCCCAAUAACCUCCGGGGGGUUCCGGUAACCCCCCGGUACUCCGUUAUAUAUCCGAUAACCCCCGGAACCAUUCCGGUGUCCGAAUAUAGUCGUCCAAUAUAUCAAUCUUCAUGUCUCGACCAUUUAGAGACUCCUCGUCGUGUCCGUGAUCACAUCCGGGACUCCGAACUACCUUCGAUACAUCAAAACACAUAAACUCAUAAUAUAACCGUCAUCGAACUUUAAGCGUGCGGACCCUACGGGUUCGAGAACUAUGUAGACAUGACCGAGACACGUCUCCGGUCAAUAACCAAUAGCGGAACCUGGAUGCUCAUAUUGGAUCCCACAUAUUCUACGAAGAUCUUUAUCGGUCAAACCGCAUAACAACAUACAUUGUUCCCUUUGUCAUCGGUAUGUUACUUGCCCGAGAUUCGGUCGUCGGUAUCUCAAUACCUAGUUCAAUCUCGUUACCGGCAAGUCUAUUUACUCGUUCCGUAAUACAUCAUCCCGCCACCAACUCAUUAGUUGCAAUGCUUGCAAGGCUUAAGUUAUGUGCAUUAUCGAGUGGGCCCAGAGAUACCUCUCCGACAAUCGGAGUGACAAAUCCUAAUCUCAAAAUACGCCAACCCAACAAGUACCUUCGGAGACACCUGUAGAGCACCUUUAUAAUCACCCAGUUACGUUGUGAAGUUUUGUAGCACACAAAGUGUUCCUCCGGUAAACGGGAGUUGCAUAAUCUCAUAGUCAUAGGAACAUGUAUAAGUCAUGAAGAAAGCAAUAGUUACAUACUAAACGAUCAAGUGCUAAGCUAACGGAAUGGGUCAAGUCAAUCAAAUCAUUCUCCUAAUGAUGUGAUCCCAUUAAUCAAAUGACAACUCUUUGUCUAUGGCUAGGAAACAUAACCAUCUUUGAUUAACGAGCUAGUCAAGUAGAGGCAUACUAGUGACACUCUGUUUGUCUAUGUAUUCACACAUGUAUCAUGUUUCCGGUUAAUACAAUUCUAGCAUGAAUAAUAAACAUUUAUCAUGAUAUAAGGAAAUAAAUAAUAACUUUAUUAUUGCCUCUAGGGCAUAUUUCCUUCACAUAUUCACAUAGAAGUUAUAUUGUCAUAGAUCCUUCAACAUGUGGUGCUUGCCCCCCAUCUUUGCUAGCCAAAAAUUCCGCACCAAGUAGAUAAACUACUUGUGCAUCCAAAAAACCCUUAAACCCAAAUCUUAUUUUCAGGAUUCCACCAAACCUACCUAGGGAUUGAGCAAGAUCCCUCAAGUAAGUUGUCAUCGGUGCAAUAAGGCAAUAAAAAUUGCUUCUAAAGGUGUUAGAUCAUUUAGUGUAAGAGAAAAUUGAGCGUUGUACGAACUUGUGAUGGCAAAGAAUAAAAGCGACUGACUGCAUACUAAAGGUUGCUAUCAUAAGGGGCAAUAUAACGUGACGUUCUUUUGCACUAAGGGGUUGAGCAUACAAACAAAUAGGCGCAUGGCAAUCUCUGCUUCCCUCUGCGAAGGGCCUAUCUUUUAAUUUUCAGUAUUUACUUUUAUGCAAAGAUUCAAAGUUAUUCUCUCUAUUCCUUUUCAUUUUUCUCUUUUGGCAAGCAUCAUGUGGUGAGGAAAGAUCUAGGAACAUAUAUCCAGUUGGAUAUGGGUAGCAUGAGUUAUUAUUGUUGACAUCACCCUUGAGGUGAAUACGUUGGGAGGCGAAAUUAUAAGCCCCUAUCUUUCUAUGUGUCCGGUUGAAACAUUUUGCUCAUGUGUAUGCGGUGAGUGUCAGCAAUCAUAUAAGACUAUAAGAUGGUUGAGUAUGUGGAGCUCUUACUUAAACUCUGUUGAAUAAGUUGAAUUGCAAUUGCUUGGUGACUGGGAACAUAGGUUGUUGGGUUUCAAGAGAAUUCAUUGUUUGAACCUUAACAUGUGAAUCGGUUGCUACUAUAACAUGAGAAGUUUUAUAAGAAAUAAUUGAUGCUAUGAUGCUAGGGAAAAGUGAUUGAAAUUGUCAUUGAUCAAACUUGUGCACUUUGCUAGCAUUCACACUUCAUAAAUUAUUUCUUUUAUCAUUUACCUACUCGAGGACGAGUAGGAAUUAAGCUUGGGGAUGCUGAUACGUCUCCAACGUAUCUAUAAUUUAUGAAGUAUUCAUGCUGUUAUUUUAUCAUUCUUGGAUGUUUUACAAUCAUUUUAUAGCAACUUUAUAUCAUUUUUUGGGACUAACCUAUUGACCCAGUGCCCAGUGCCAGUUGCUGUUUUUUGCUUGUUUUUUACAUCGCAGGAAAUCAAUAUCAAACGGAGUCCAAACACCGCGAAACUUUUUGGAGAUUUUUUAUGGACCAGAACACCCAGGAUGGGCCAGAGCAGCACCUCGGGGGUGCCCCGAGGGGGGGCAUAACCCACCAGGGCGCGCCUGGGGGCCCAGGCGCGCCCAGGUGGGUUGUGCCCACCUCGGUGGCCUCCCGCACCCCCUCUUUACCCUAUAAAAUCACAAAUAUUCCGAAAACCCUCGGGGUUAACCUAGAUCAGAAGUUCCGCCGCCGCAAGGCUCUGUAGCCACCGAAAACCAAUAUAGACCCUUUCCGACACCCUGCCGGAGGGGGGAAUCAUCACCGGUGGCCAUCUUCAUCAUCCCGGCGGCCACCAUGAUGAGGAGGGAGUAGUCCACCCUCGGGGCUGAGGGUUUGUACCAGUAGCUAUGUGUUUAAUCUCUCUCUCUCUCUCUCUCUCUCGUGUUCUUGAGAUGUAACGAUCUUGAUGUAUCGUGGGCUUUGUUAAUAUAGUCGGAUCAUAUGGUGUUUUUCCCUCUCUAUCUUGUUGUGAUGAAUUGAGUUUUCCCUUUGAGAUUUCGUUGUUAUCGGAUUGAAUACGUUUAUGGAUUUGAGAACACUUGAUAUAUGUCUUGCAAUUGAAUACUCGUGGUGACAAUGGGGUAUCGUAUUGAUUCACUUGAUAUAUGUUUUGGCACUCAACUCGCGGAUUCCCGAGGUGACAUUGAGGUAAUCUAUGCAUAGGGGUUGAUGCACGUUCUUGUCUUUGUUUCUCCGGUAGAAAUCUUGGGGCACUCUUUGAAGUUCUUUGUGUUGGAUCGAGUAUUAUGAAUAUGAAUUUGCUUUGGUGUUAUUUUAGUACGAACUCUAGGAUAGAUCGAACGGAAAGAAUAGCUUUAUGUUAUUUUAGUACGAACUCUUGAAUAGAUCGAACAGAAAGAAUAGCUUUGAGGUGGUUUCGUACCCUACAAACAAUUUAUUCUUGUGUUCUCCGCUAGAUAGGAACUUUGGAGUGAUUCUUCAUCGCACUUUGAGGGAUGGUUAUAUGAUCCAAUUAUAUUAGCACUGUUGAGAGAUUGCACUAGCGAAAGUACGGACCCUAGGCCUCAUUUCCAAGCAUUGCAAUACCGUUUUUGUGCCCGUUUACUAUUUGCUACCUUGAUAUUUUUAUUUAUUCAGAUUAUAAAAAUAUAUUUCUACCAUCCAUAUUACACUUUUAUCACCAUCUCUUCGCCGAACUAGUGCACCUAUACAAUUUGCCAUUGUAUUGGGUGUGUUGGGGACACAAGAGAUUUCUUGUAUUUGGUUGCAGGGUUGUUCGAGAGAGACCAUCUUCAUCCUACACCUCUUAUGGAUUGAUAAACCUUAGGUCAUCCACUUGAGGGAAAAUUGCUAUUGUCCUACAAAACUCUGCGCUUGGAGGCCCAACAUGAGUCUACAAGAAUAAAGUUGCGUAGUAGACAUCAUUACUUGCCCGAGAUUCGAUCGUCGGUAUCUUCAUACUAGUUCAAUCUCGUUAUCGGCAAGUCUCUUUACUCAUUCCGCAAUACAUCAUCCUGUAAAUAACUCAUUAGUCACUUUUAUUGCAAGGCUUCUUAUGAUGUGUAUUACCGAGAGGGCCCAGAAAUACCUCUCCGAAACUCGGAGUGAAGAAUCCUAAUCUUGAUCUAUGCGAACUCAACAAACACCUUCGAAGAUACCUGUAGAGCAUCUUUAUAAUCACUCAGGUACAUUGUGACGUUUGAUAGCACACAAGGUAUUCCUCCGGUAUCUGGGAGUUGCAUAAUCUCAUAGUCGAAGGAAUAUGUAUUUGACAUGAAGAAAGGAAUAGCAAUAAACUGAACGAUCAAUAUGCUAAGCUAACGAAUGGGUCUUGUCCAUCACAUCAUUCUCCUAAUGAUGUGAUCCCGUUAUCAAAUGACAACGCAUGUCCAUGGUUAGGAAACCUUAACCAUCUUUGAUCAACGAGCUAGUCUAGUAGAGGCAUACUAGGGACAUGGUAUUUAUUUAUGUAUUCACACAUGUAUUUAAGUUUCCGAUCAAUACAAUUCUACCAUGAAUAAUAAACCUUUAUCAUGAUUAAGGAAAUAUAAUAAUAACCAUUUUAUUAUUGCCUCUAGGGCGUAUUUCCGUCAGUGGGCUGCUCCCAUGGCAACAAACCCAACACCCUAGGAUUUGUUGUCCAGCAGGUGGCUGAGAGCCACCAUGAGAGCCUCUGGGCUGAAGCCAAUAUGCUCCAUGACGGCGCCGUAUAGCUCAGGGUGGACGUCCACACUCUUGCUCUCCCUAAUGGCGGUGGCCACCUCCUUCACUGCCUCAGUCACGCUGCUGAAGACGCUCAGCUCCUUCUCCAUGAAGCCUGCCGCUUCCUCUUCCUAUCAAGCAUAGGAACGUGCUCACCAUAUUUCUGAGGAGCAUCAACGUUGAUGGUGUCUGACUACUGGGUGUCUAGAUACUCGGGCAUCUGCGAGCCCAGCGGCUGACCAGAGCCCAUGGCAUGCUUGCCGGUUGCUAGCCCGAAGGAGAAGAUCUGCUUCAUCUGGUGGUAGUUCUGGAUAGGGGUGUUGAGGAACUCUGUGUCCUUGGGGUGAGCCUAAGAAGAAACAGGGCAGAGAGGUUAGUUAGUAUGGGAAUGGUUCAUAGGCUUAAAUUGCUGGUUUGUUAGAAUGGCAUGGUUUGUGAGCUAACCGCGAUGUGGCCUUGGUAGUGCUCUGCCUCCAAAAGGAUCGAGCCGGUGUCCUCAUCCCAUGAAGCACCGCAGAGGUCUCUAAGCUUGGAAGCGGCGAUCGACCUCGCUCUCCCCUUCCUCAGGUGGUUGUACACCUGGGUCGAGGUAACCUCCUGUCCAUAGAAGUCGAACACCUGCUUUGCAACAAGGCUCAAGUGCACCUCCUUGAAGCCCUUGUCAGUCCUCACCCCACUAGCUAUGAUCUCACACAUCUUGUUAAGCACAAAAGUGGAGAGGAAUGGCCGCCAUUUCAUGUUGUCCCCCCUGCCAUCCUUCUUCUCCUUUGCGACUGCUUUUCAGCAGUAGCAUGAGCAACAACAUUGGGCUGAGCCAGCACAAAAUGGAGGAACCGUAGGUGGCACCUCGAAAACCUCUGAAUUAGGAGGCAUCUGGUCCAUAGGAGGCUAGGAGUCCUCGACGUAUGACGGUAGGAGCUGGCUCUCGGACAUCACGAGGGCCUGACUAAACUCUUGCGUCGUCAUGUCCUACAAAUGUAAGCGCCAUCAACACCACAAGACACCAGACAUGGAUAGUAGGAACUAGCACUACAACAUGGACAGAUCAAACUAGCAGUAACACAUGCACAUUUGGAUGAUCUAGUUGAAGACAUCACUACCAAAUCCAUCAAAGCAUACCACAACUCAACACAACAUAACAAAGCAAUAAUGAUGGACACAUGGAUGAUCUUUUUCAACACUUGCACACUAGCAUACCACCAAUCCAUCCAUGACCACUAGCUACCAACACUUGCCCACAUGGAAACAACCCCUAGCAAGCUCCAAAUUCAUCACAACUAGCUACUACAACAUCACAGUCAAAUAGAUCAGGAAGAUCUAACCCGACCACAUGGACAUAUCUAGCUAGAACUAGUAGAGAGGAGGUGGUGAUUGAACUUACAGACGCCAUCGGAAGAGCGCGGAGGAGGUGCCUAGCACGUCGGAGAGGAGGAGGAGUCGACCCGCCGUCGCAGUCAACUGAUCGCCGGAGUAGUUGCGCCGCUUACCUCGUCGUCGAAGUGGAUCCGCGCCGGAGGGAAAGCUCGAGAGGGGGGAAAUGGUGGCGGGAGUUUUGCCGUGGCGGUCACCCUUGAUAUAUAGGGCGAUCGAAUCGGCGGGCGGUGACUCGAAUUCGUCCCGCCGCUUUUUCGAAGAUGCGCCAUCGCUCCCGCCAUCUCCCUGCCCACAGCUGCGCGGCGCGGUCAUACCCCUCCCCUGCAUCGCUCGAGCCUGGCUCGCUGGAAACAGCUGAUUCGGCCGUUCCUAGCGGGCCAGGCUGAGGGAUGCUUUGAGGUUCGUACUAUGUGGGCCAAAUAGUAAACACAAUCAUCCAAACAUCCCAUUUUCAUCAUGCGCGGCCCUGGCCCGACCUAAUGCAGGCAACCAAACACACCUUUUUUUCAAACAAAUGUAGAGCCAGAAUGGAUGAUUUUGUGCUUAUUAUCUGUUCUUCCUCCCGAAUUGAGACCUAUUGUUUAUAGGUCUGGAGAUAAAAUAGUUACUUCAGACAUUAAUGAACUUUAUAAGAGAGUUAUCCGUCGGGGCAACAAUCUUGCCAAUCUAUUAGAAAGAAGUGAUUUCUUUUUAAGUUUUUCUCUUCUAUAGUUUUCUAUAUUGUAAACAUUUUUCUAAUAUAUGUUGAACAUUUUCCAAAUACACACUGAUCAUUUUUUAAAUUCAAAAAAUGCUCAUGGAUUCAAAAAAUGUUCAUAAAUUUCAAAAAAUUCACAAAGUCAAAGAAUGUUUUGAAUUCAAAAAAGUUUGAAAAUGAAGAAAAUUUCACAAAUUCAAAAAAUAACUGGCAAUUAAAAAAAAGGUUCAAGAACUAAACAAAUGUUCACAAAUUCAUUUUUUCAAAUUAAAAAAUGCUCGCAUAUUCGAAAAAAGUUCUUGAAUACAAAAAAUGUUUGUGAAAUUAUAAAAUUGGGUACAAAAAUGUAGAAAAUGCUAGCAAAUUCUAAUAAUGUUCACGGAGAACUAACAAAGUUUGAAAAUUUUCAAAUAUUCCAAUUUUUUCAAUUUAAACAAGAUUCAGAAACAUGAUUUUUUGAAUAUGCGAACAAAUUAAAAAAAUGGGAAUAAAUUUUGAAAUUCCAAACAAUUUUGGAAAAAGGUAAAACUUUUAAAUUCCUUUUUUUAACUCAACAUUUUUAAACCUCCAAGCAAUUUUUGAGAAUUUGAACAUUUUUUAAUAUCUAUAUUCUUAAAUGGGAUCAUGAUUUGUAAUUACAAACUAAUUUUGAGAUUUUGUUUUGAAAUCCACUGAAGCUAUUUGAAAACUCAAACGUUUGUUGAAUAUGUGAAUGAUUUUUUAAUUUGUAAAUUAAGAAAAAAAUAAAUAGGAAAAAAGAAAAGAGUAAAGAGAAACCUAAAAAAGAAAAGACGAAAAGAACAACAACCCAAGAAAGGGAAAACUUGUUCAGGAAUCUUCUAGAAGGUUCCCAGAACUGAUCAGGAACCUUUUUUUAGAAACACCUAUAACUUCAUUGAUAGUCAUAACAAUUACAGGUAAAUUGAUUUGGACCUGAAAUUCAAAAAAUACAAAGUAACUCAUAUGACUAAGAAUUACAAUGAAAUCUGUUGUAAACACCUUCUUCGCGGUAUCAAUCUUUGCUCGAAGAAAUAAUUCAGAGACUUCGGUAAAGAGUCUGUAAUUGGACUGGGAGCAACAAUGUUGUUAAUCUUUCACCCGCACGAACAUUACCAAUAAUGAUUUUUUAGACAACCAAUAAUGAUUUUUGGAAGCGCCUUGAGUCGUCUAUCUUUUUUUUUAGACAACCUUGAGUCGUCCAUCUAGUCUAGAAAGAAAGAUGGGAAGCCGGAUGAAAUCAGUCGCCACACUCAUUUCGCUCUGUUCUAAUGGGCUGGCCCAACUUCCUAGCAUUGCCGCCCUGGGCUUGGUGCUGGGCCGUGCUCUCCCCCCUUGCUGAGUGCCCGCCAAAUCGCGGGGGCUGAGGAUCGAUCAUAGUGCGCGAACCGCGAAUCCUCAAAAUCCCCAAAUCUCCAUUUCCCAGCUCUAACCCUAGACGCAGACCGGCCGUGCAGCGCGGCUGCGGCGGGAGAGGAGCCUCUGCCGGCGAAGCGAAGCCUCGCCACUCGCGGGCUCCAGGAGGGGAUCCGUUCCGUCUUGGGUGUUUCCUGGUUUGCAGGUCCGACGCGGUGGCGGACCCCUCUUUUGCCGCCCUCAAAUUGCUGAGCGCGCACUCGCAAGCUUUCGAUCUACUCGUAUCCGUCGAUUGAUUCAUGUUAGUUAUCAUUUCGUUCCUUCGCUUGUUUUGCUGUUUCUACAUCAGAAAACUGUUUAUACAUCUGCAUACUGCCGCAGCCACUGAAACUUACAGAAGGUGCAGAAAUUGCUGUCUAUGACCGCUCCUCUUUGUCGCCGAUGCAUGUCUUUUCCAGUGCCAAAAAUGCAUUAUCUGCCUGUUUUAUCCAAUGUCUCAAUGUAAACUAUUUCUAAGUUGUAUGGUUGUCGCACCGAUGCACACAUUUUGUUGUGCGGAGUGUCAUUCCGGGCGUGUCGUGUGGCUAGAUUUUUGCCAGCAAAUUUUAGCAGUGUCGCACCCACUUUGUGUUUCAUCUAUGCAUCUUGAUAUGUGUAUCUCACCAUGCUUUUAGUUUUAAGCCAGCUUAUUUUUUCAACUUUGCAGGCAUCAUAUGUAUACCGAUUUGUUUAUGGUUAUGGAUCAAUAGCAACACAGGGCUCCAUGUUUGCUACAGGUGGUGCCACUUAUUUCCUUCUUUACCAAUUCUAAGUAGAUAAACUAAAACAUCUGUUAAGCUUUACCUAAACUUCAUGUUAUUUUCCUGCAAAUUACUCUAAUCAUAAUCUUUACUCACUUUUCCCUAUUGGUUUUAAAUGUGUCUACAGAAGGAUUUGGUACGCAGGCUUCCUCAAGAGACUAGAUUGCUUACUAUGGCUUCUGAGGAAACCAAACCAAAGAAGCAAAGAGAUGAGGAAUGCAUUAUAAACGGUCUCCCAGGAGAACUCAUUGAGCGGAUAUUUUUUAAGCUUCCAGUGAGCACUUUGUUGAGGUGCACUGGUGUUUGCGAGCAGUGGCACAAAAUCAUCCGAGAUCCUCAGUUUGUCACCUCUCACCUCCAGGAUGCGCCCCAAUGUGCCUUCCUAUUCUUUCCGCAAGAGUCGGUCUCAGGUGAGCCCCAUCCUGCUGAUGCUAUCCUGAUUGAUGAAGCCUGGUCGCCAUCGACAUAUGCAGUGCCAGUGAUUGGGCCUGACGAUUUCCUUUGUGGUUCAUGCAAUGGGCUUGUUGUCUUAUACACAAAGUCAUCAACACUCAAGGUAGCUAACUUUGCAACUGGUGAAUGCCUGCAUCUUGAGAAACCUGUAAAGAAUUUGAGGGGUGAUCACUUCUUGUUCUACAACUUUGGAUUUCACCCAUUGACAAAAGAAUACAAGAUUACACACUUUCUUGCUGAUCCUAUUGUGGGUCGCCCGUGCUCCCAUAAUAAUAGCAGAUUCAGUGUCAUUCAAGUUUACACACUUGGUGAUGAGAAAUGGAGAGAUAUCAAAACUCCAGAAGCCCUAAGCUUAAACUGUGUAAAAAACUCUGGAGCAGUCAAUAUUGACGGAACAAUGUAUUGGCUAACUGAAGACAUGGUAGCUAGCUGGCAGCAUGCAGUUAUGGCCUUUGAUCUCAAUGAAGAAAGUUUUGCUCAGAUACAACUACCAGCAACUGUACAUGAAGAUUGUGCAGGUGGCGGUCCCCGUCGGUACUGGAUCCGAGAGAUAAAUAGGAAGGUAUGUAUAGCAACAGCUCAAGCCUGUCCGUCUCUUCCCAGAAGGCUUGUUGGUAUGCUGCAGAUCUGGGAACUUGAGAACAAAACGGAGCAUAGGUGGAGCCGGAAGUACAAUAUUCAGUACUCGCCAGAUUACAUUCUGGGUCCAAAUUUGGUUCAUGGGGAUAAGAUCAUAGUGCCAUGUCGCGAUGGCAACCUAUAUUCUUAUGAGUUGCUCGGGGAGAACUUCAAUACUAAAUUGUGUAAGAUGGCAAAGCUGUUAGAUUUCAGUCCCUACAAGCCUGACAACAUGCAAUCCUAUAUCUGUGUGAAGUCACUUGUACGUUCAGAUGCAUACAAGAAGGCUGGCAUCACGCGUAGGCCAAAACAGAGGGAAUGCUGGGAAUUGAAGAAGUGGGAGGCGUAGGAGUACCAGCUCUCUGAGAAUGAAAAACUGUGGACUAACAUUUAUGGAGAAGAGCAUGAGGGAACUGUAUGUUAGCUGAACUCAAAUUUAGCUUAGCGACAAUUUAUUAUUCUGGAAAUUUUAACAAUGGUUGAGUUGCUAUUUGAUAGGCAUUUGCAGAACGCAAUGGCAUAUCACUCAAUGGUCUACUGCCGCAUAUAUUGGAUGAUGCGAUUCGACAUGAUGUAAGCAUGAAAAUCAAUCAAAUAUAUCCAAGCUUUCCAGAUCAGGUAAUUCUUUGUCUAAACGGAAGUCAGCAUAGUUUUUUUUUUCAUAUUUAAGUUUAAAUAUUCAAUGAUCAUUUGAAAAGGAGAAGAUGUCAUGAUUGUUUAAGUGCACCCUCAUCAUUAUUCAUGUUUUGCAUGAGACUCCAGCAACCAAGGCCCCUCCGUCGGCUUAAUUGUGUGGCGCGCAACCGAGAUAGGGAAAAUUUAUCUGCUCGUAUGGAGAAUUAUAAUAGUAUUAUGAAGGUAUAAUGUUUUAAAUUUACAGGCCAGAUCAUUCAGGACUUUUCCUUGAAACAUGUCAAAUUAAUAAAGUUAACUUGUCUACAGACAUCGAGGGAGGCUAUGUAUAAUAUCAUUAGUAUGAUACGUAGUGCUGUAGACAAUCAGGUAAAGGUUUACUUUUGGUCUAAUUUAUUCAUGUUUUAUUUUCCUGCUAUAGCUCGCUAGUUCUUGUCUCCUGUAUCUGUUUUAAUCUCUUCCACAAUAAAUAAGCAAAUUAGCUUCUUUUGAACUAUAAGCAUGAUGAUACUAUUACCUCCCUUCAUACAAGUGAAUGGCCUCCCCUGCAAUACAAUUAUUUUCCAUCCCAUAUUUUAAUAUUGGCAUGUGCGUGUGGUUUAGUUCUUUGUACCAACUUUGCAAACUGCCUAGUUACUGUGUUCAUUGGGCUGUCAAUUAGGUAGCCCACAGUCAACAUAUCACAUUAAUAAGAAAUAUUUUGUCAUCAAGGUUUAUGUACGUGCCCUAAAUUUGUGAAAUGGGUGUCAUUGCAGAACACUUUAGGUGUUGAUAUUUUCAUACCUACGCAUAUAGAUAUAGACGUACCAAAAUGUAAAUGUUUUCCUAUUUGAAUGGCAUGGUAUUGUCUGCAGCUCCAUUCUUAUACGUUUGCUAGCACACUCAGUGAAUAAUGGUUAAUUGAGCAUAGCUCUGCUAACUGGGCAUCGAAUUAUAAGUUACUUUGGUUGCUAUCAAGUACUGCAAUACAGGUUGCUAUCAAGUACUUUGUGAAAUGGGUGUCAUUCUUAUACGUUUAUAUGGCAGACCAAUUAACAUAAGUAGUUCUAAAGAACAUUCAGAGUAGGAACCAUGGAUUGAUUGGUAAAUGUCGAAUUUUUCAUUUCCUACUUCCUGUUUGAGCUUUGAAGUCAAAAUUUAACGGCUUGAUUAAACUGUCUGUGCACCUUAUGUUUCUUUGAGGAAAAGAAAACAAUGAAGAUUCAGACCCUUCCUUUUUUCUGGAAUGGGUUGAUGAAAGCCCCAUUGUCUUGUAUUUGAAACCUUACUCAUGUUUCAGAGGGGUGCUUCGGGUUCAAAUGCUGGCAUUUCUUCUCAGAAUCGCAGUCAGGGCGAUGAUGCAAAGGCUUAAUACUUCAGAACUUAUCAUGAGAUCGUUGACAUUCAACACUAGUUUCUUUUUGUCAGAGGACUGUUUACAUCUUCUGCCUGUAAAAAGCUCUUUCUGAAGUACCGUCUGUGUGCUGCUAUUUUUUUUCCGUUUGGAUUUCAGUCCUUGUGAUCUACUCCAGUUAAACUUAUUGGUCGAUAUUUCGCAAAAAAGAACAAAAAACUUAUUGGUCGAUUUGAGACCUUGGAGAACUUGCGGGACAGCGAGACAUUUGAU
rnacentral:lncRNA from 1 species